GAGCAGCUUGAGGUACACAUCGUCCGACUUGGGCGCCGUGCGCUUGGUCCUCUUGUUGCGGCCGCCGGCGACGAGGUCGAUACCCUGGGUGCGACGGGAACGGACGGUGUGAGCCUUGCGUAGAGUUCAGGGGAGAACGACGAGGAGGGAGAGGGGUAAGAGAUUACCAUGGUUCCGCGGUGGUGGAUGCAGCAGCGGCGAGGGUCGAGGCGGCAGCGGCGGCGGCGGGACGGGUGCUAGGGUUUUGGAUGGAAUGAGAUGUGGAGUCUAAAUAUGGUGUGGACGGAGAGUUAUUUGGGCUGGGCCUAAAUUGGUGGUCUUUGUUUCUUUCGUUUUAGCCCAAAUAAGCCUGCCUCUGCCUUAACGGAUGAAAGGUUGGUAUCGGGGACGAGGGUUUUGUUAAUCGUGCAGCCGGAAAACCCUAUUUGCCACUCUUUGUUUCUGUUUUUAAAAUGUUUCUGUUUGUAAAUUAAUCUUUUACAAAGUUUAAAAAUGUUUGUCUUUCACAAAUCACUUGGGUAUUUUUUUAAAUAAACGUGUUCAAAAUUCUAAAAUAUAUCGGAUCUGGACUGGAUGUUGCUGACUUGCUUCUUAAAGUUUUACGCUCCUCUAUGUUUAAUAAUCUUACGUAGCUCAACCGGUAGUAUUUCAUGGUAUGUUGAUUGAGACCAUGUGUCUUCAUUCUAUGAGAUGGCGGUUCUAAUUUUUAGCUUUUAUGAGCAGUACGACUCACCGCCGACCGUCUCCUUCACGGGUCGGCUCAGGCAAAGACCCGACUAUGCGAAACUGUGACUAUUUGCCGUAAAAUGCGGCGCAUAGGAGCUUCCGCUGUAGUCGUCACUAUUGCAAGGUAAUUUUUCAUCCCCUCGCCUCUGGCUGUCAUUUUGGCGUUGGAGAGGUGAGUGAUCUUGCAUCUUUAAGAGUGUUACUUUUUGACAUCGUCUAGUGAUUAUUGUAUGUUGUGAGAAUAGAUUAUUUUCAAUUUUUGUUGUACCAUGACGUUAGAGAGUUUUCAGUCCUCGCAGAUUCAAUUAUUCGGGUCUAAUAAGGUUAGGUUGGUGUGUCAAACCUUUUUGGGGGUUUGGUUCUUUGUGAAGUUGAAAUUUUACAUCAACACUAUGUUGAAGAUAUUGUGAUCCAACGUUCUGCAUUCCCAGGGGAUCAUCCCCGGCCCAAGUAUGUUCAUUGAUGAAGACCUUCCAUCUUUCUGGAUGGAUGACUCAAGUCGCCUUAAAAUAUCAUCAUUGGUAAUGUUUUGUGGCUGAAACAGUAACAACAUCGUUGCUCCAGUCCAAUUACAACCUCUCUAGCGAAGUUUUUGAGUAUCUCUUCAAGCAUAGAUUGAUACAACGAAGAAGGUGCUUUCAAGGAAUCUCACUGUAAUUUUUAGUCAUAUGAGUUACUUUGUAUUUUUUAGGUCUUAGGUUCAUAUCAAUGUAUCUGUAACUGUUACGAGUAUGAAUAAAUUUAUAGGUGUUUCUAAACAAACGGAUGAAGGGAUUUUCUAUUUAUAGGGUGUGGUGUUGUGAGUGUGGUCUUUUUUCUGAAGGAAAUGCCAUCAUGGCUGACUUUAGUGCGACUCUAAAGUAAAACAAAACUAAUAAGUGUAUACGUACAAUGCAUGUCUUGAGAAAUGCAUGCACGAGUUAAAUUGAGUAUUGUGUAAUAAUAUUAAAAUAGUGAUGUGUCCGUCCGAGAUAAUGGUUUUAGUUUUACCAUUAAAACGGCAAUGGCGUAUGUGUAAAAAAAAUAGAGAUAAUGUGUUUGAAUUCAAAACAUGUCUAUUUUAAUCUUACAUUAUUCUACGGUUUUGUUAUUUAUUUAUUUUAAAAAGGCACAAAGGGAGUUAGGUAAGGAGAAAGUACUUCUUGUAGCUAUUUAUUUUGCCUUUGUUUUAGGGUUGGCAGCUCUUAGAUUUGACCAUUCUCAGUCGUCCGAUGAAGCAGAACUAAAAGCUUUAUUGCAACUUAAUAAUGAUUUGAUCAUCAAUGAGAAAUGUAGCAAUAAAACUAGGGAAAUCUUCGAUUCGAAUGGAAGGUUCAGAUUUGGACUCCCUAGCUAAACUAUGUGCAACUUCUCGAAGAGUCUGCACAAAAUGGGAACAAAUGAAGGAUACACUUGUACUUACAAUCAACAUUUAUGCAACUUUUAUAGGUUGUUUCAAUAAGGACCAACGAUUUGUCUCAUCUACUCCCUCCGUUUCUAAAUAUAAGUCCUUUUAGAGAUUACACUAUAGACUAGAUACGGAGCAAAAUGAGUGAAUCUACAUCCUAAAAUAUGACUACAUACAUCCGUAUGUAGUUCAUAGUGGAAUUUUUAAAAUGUCUUAUAUUUAGGAACGGAGGGAGUAUUAGUUAUAAGAAUGAAAAUAUAGAUAAAAGAGAUUUUCAUGUGCAUGGGUGUUCCCGUGCAUGCGGACCGAGGAAUGGGCCACAUCCUAGACAAACUCGGCCAGACCCAGGCAACCUUUGUUCACUGUAGCAGGCUAGCUACAGCAAACACUACAGUGUACAAAGGAGAUGGGCCUCACGUCCCAGGCCGCCGCCUGGGCUGCUUGGGCCUGAAUCCGCCCAUGCGUACAUGUAAGAGCCCUUUAUUCAUUGGACAUUCCUCGCCAUGCACUUAUGUAUUGGUUUUAGUAUUGCUAUAUGCUCGUUUGUAUUCAUUUUAGCACGUCACCUCGUGUGAUAUAUUUUGUUAGCCACAUUUUGCCUUCAACAUCACUUGCCCUUUUAUAAAGUUGUUGUUUUUCCCUCACACCUAUUCUUUCCUCCCGCCAACAAGUACGUACAUAGUACUUUUUUGAGGAUGGUAUCUUUUGAACAAUGAAGCUGAUUGGUGAUAUUUUUAUAUAUCUGGAUAGUUCACAGCAAGAAUUUUAGAAAAAGACCAAUGUUGAAUAUAUUUCAAUUACUUUUUGACCAAUUCCAAUAUGAAAUUGGAAUGCAACUAGUAUAUACAAGGUGACACUGAAAUAUGAAAUUGUAAUUUUCAAACUGCAUUCAUUUCAAUUUACAAAACAGUUAGAUUAUCACAUCCAUUACAAUUAAAGUGAGAUUGAAAAUAUGAAAUUGAAAUGCAACCGAUAUACAUAAUGUGAGACUGAAAUAUGGAAUCUUCAACCAGUUUCAGUACCACAUCCAUUAUAACUAAUGUGAGAUUCAAAUGUGAAAUUAGAAUGCAACAUAUAAUGUGACACUGAAUAUGAAAUUGAGUUUUUCAUACCACAUCCAUUUCAAUUUCCAGACCAGUUUUAGUUUCACAUCCAUUUCAAUUUCCUAACGUUUUAGUUUCACAUCCAUUUUAAUUAAUAUGAGUCUGAAAUAUAAAAUUGGAAUAUAUAUAUAUAAAUACAUAAACACAAAAACUAUUCUGAUCCUGGGAUGAGAAUAACUAUUCUGACCACGGACUGACUCGUCCCAGCAGUAGCACUUGAAUUUCCCUGAGUGCUAAGUUGAACUUCCGCUAAAAAGUAUCCAAAUGGGUUUGCGAUAUACCGUUAGAAAUCUAUGUACAUCCCGGUAACAUCCUGGGUUGAAUUUUUGUCAAAAUGUUCAUGGUCUAAGAGCAGAUUUAAAAACCGUUUUGUUCAUACAAAAAAGUGAAUUGUAUUUUUAGCCUAUUUCUAAACCAAUUCUCAGAAUGAGUCAAAUGAAACGGCGUUGGACAGCUGGUGCAAAUCCGCUCAUUUUAUACGUUGAAAUUUUUUCCAAAUUCCCUACGGUUAAAUAGGAAUUUCUGAAACCGAACAGUCAGGUUCAUAUUUCAGGGUUAAUUUGAAAAAAGGCUAGUCCGGUCGACACAAAUAAUAUGGCCAUGGAAAUAUUAUGAAAAUGAUCAUCUUUUAAUAUAAAAAGUUUCUUCUAACUAUUAACGGUUUAAAAGUAAUUGAGAAAACGACACAAGUUGUACCAAAUUCAUAUUUUUGCGUUAAUUUCACAAUGGUUUAUCGGAAUGGUGCAAAUGAUAUGGCGUUGGAAAGCUUCAACAAAUGUGAAACUUUUAUAUGUAUAUUGUUUUUCCAAUUCCUUACGGUUUUAUGUCAGAUUUUUGGCUACAAAUUUUACAAACUUUAUCGGAAUGGGGCAAAUAAUAUACCAUUGAGAAGCUACGAAAAUGCAAAACAUUUUCAUGUUGAUAGUUUCCUAUGAUUCCUACUCGUUUUUAAGCAAUCUUGAAAAUAGUGAGAUCAUGCGUUCUGCCUAUAGCGUGAAACACAUUCUUCGAAAAUGCAUCACGUGAAGAACGUGGACUUCUCGGCUUGUCUCCAUGAACUCCACUCUGUUUUUCACGUGGUGUUUUUGGUAGUAACUCUCCAUCCUCUCACCGAAAUUGAGAAAAUGAUAUACCGAUGGAAAACUGCUGUAAAUACACAACUUUUCCUUGUUGAUCAUUUUUUCAUACUCGCGAUGGUUUAAAAGAUUUUUCAUGUGAAAUUCAUGCAGUGUGGUAGUUGACCUUUACCGAGUGGUAGGAUUGAACUUCCGCUAAUAUUGUCCAAAUGGGGCUGCUUGCGAUAUAUUGUUGAAAAGCUAUAGACACAUUGGUAACAGACUAGGUUGAAUUGUUUUCAAAAUCUACACGGUUUAAAAGCAGUUUCGAAAACCGUUUUCUUUAUAAAAAACGUGAAUCGUAUUUUCGAGCUUAUUUUUAACCAUUUAUCAGAAUGAGGCAAAUGAGAUGACAUUGGAUAGCUGCUGCAAAUCCGCUCAUUACGUAUGUUGAAAGUUUUCCAAAUUCCCUAUGAUUAAAGAGGAAUUUAAAAAAUGUCAGAAUUUCUAAAACCGAAUAGCUGUGUUAGUAUUUCUGGGUUAAGUUGAAAAUGACUAGUCCAAUUUAUCCAAAUGAUAUGGUGUUCAAAAGCUUAUGAAAACGUGCAUGUUUUCAUAAAAAGCUUUGUUCCAACUUUGAACGGUUUAAAUGUAAUUUACAAAACGGCAUAAGUUCCACCAAUUUUGUAUUUCUGCGUUAUUUUUUGAUGAUAUGUCAGAAUGAAGCAAAUGAUAUGACGUUUGAAAGCUUGAAUAAAUGUGAAACUUUUAUAUGUAGAUUGUUUCCAAUUAUGUACGAUUUUAAGUCUAUUUUAAAAAUGGCUAAAGCUUUUUUGUCGUAAUAUUUACAAAUUUUGUCGAAAUGGGGCAAAUAAUAUAUUGUUGAAAAGCUACGAAAAAUGCAAAACUUUUUCAUGUAGAUAGUUUUUCUGAUUCCUAGUAGUAGUUGAACUGCUCGACAUUUUCAAAUUGAACUUUGAUCACGUAUUAUUGUUCGUAACCGUCAUCCGUUCCUUGGAGUUGCACAAAUGAUGUACUAUUAGAAACUUAUUGAAAAGACACAAUUUUUUCUUAUGUGGUUAAACUUUAUUUUCAAACAACAUACGCCAAUUUGUUGUAAACGUGUUUUUGAAUAAGAAUAUUUUUAUACCAUUGGAAAGUUGUUGAAUAAGAGGAACUUUUUCAAGUAGAGAAUUUAUGUUCUAAAUUUGUAAUUGAUUGAGAGAAUUAUUUUAAAACACAUUUUUGUGUUUUUUUGCAUAAGUAAAUACAAGAUAAACUCCUUUACAAGAAUAUUUGAACUAUAACCUAUUAACAAUCAUCAGAUUGCAUAUAUUGUACUAUUUUCCCUUGAUGAGUUUUCCCCUAAUGGUUUCUCAUAAAGGUUUUAACGAGACAAUAUAAACACAAGUGUCUUUAUAUGCCAUAUCAUUUUCUCCUUGUAUUUUUCCCACUAGGUUUUAAAGCAGUUUUCAAUGGCACGUACGAUUGCACUCUUUUCCCUUAUGAGUUUUCUCUCAAAGUUUCUCAUAAUGGUUUUAGUGAGGCAAUAUCUUCUCAAAGAUCAUAUGUCAUACUUUCUAUUUCCCUACCGGGUUUUCUAAAGGAAGUACUCAAGACAUAUUAAUUGUUCUCUAAACUUAUCAAUGAGUUUUCUCCUUCUUCAAAGGUUUUCUCAUAUGAGUUAUCAAGAGACAAUGAUCAUCAUAUGUUGCAUCAUUUUCUCCUUAUUUUUCCAUUGGGUUUGAAGGAGUUUUAGCAACAUAUCUACUCUAUUCUUCUCAUAUUUUCCCACAAGGUUUUUGGGAAAGACUCUUAAGAUUAUCUGGAAGAUUUCUCAAGAUGGAAGAUCUAUAUGCAAGAAGUUUUCAACGAUGAAACAUUCAAGGAGUGGUGUUGUACAAGGGGAGUGUUAGAAAUUAAUUAGUAGAUUAAUCCAAGAGAUGUGUCCAACCCCGAACAGUCGUGUCUCCUCUCUCUCUAUUGUCAACAGACACAUGUUCUGGAGGGAUGCAUCCAAACAGACACCUCUUCUUCGCAACUCUUACAGAUGUAUAUAUACUUGAGAAUGAAUAGAAACAUGACUAAUCGCCCAUUCACUUUCAUUCAUUUUCGUUUUACUUUAACAUGGUCCUUGACCAUCCAGAUUUGUUGAUUGCUGACUGGCUACUAUCGCUGCAUGUAUGCAUGUUGUAUGCUUUAUAUCAUGUUUACGUGAGGAACAUGAGACGUACACUAGGUCAUAUGCAUUCAUGCAUGCAUGCAUGCAUGUAUGGGUAAGUAGGUCGUUGGAUGGUGUGGCACGUGGACUAUCAGCGAUGCACAUAUGUUUUUCGCUUUUUCGGACCAAUCGUUCUUUUUGGUGUUUUCGAGGUUUGCGGAUAUGCUCGUGGCUAACCGGUAUAAUGCGUCGGUUGUCGGUGUGUGCUUGCGUAGCAGUGAAAGCGUUUGAGUGUCCAACCGGAUGUGUUGUAGAUUUUCAUCUUCCGACGUCUUGUAUGUUUCAUGGUGUUUUAGGUCUAAUAUAGCUAGACAUAUCUUUGAUUUUUGCCCAGUUUUCCAUAAUAAACUUCGUAUUUUCUUGUUUUUUUAGCAUUUGCCUUUAUGUGAUGCAUUCCUCGUUUGGAGAUGUUUUAUAAUGCCUUCUUUAAUCAAGGGAAAAGCUAACGAGUGGCGUGUGCACGGGCGUCGUCCCGUGCGGCGGUGGUGCAAGACCCGAGUGUCCUGACUCGCGGACAAAUUGUGACAUGCAGGUAGACGGAUAUGACUAGUUUUCUUGUUUUUUUGCGGAAAGAAACUAAUUUUCUCUGUUGGAUGCUUCUCCUCGUUGAGUACAAAACGUGCACUAUGCAUGCAUGCAAGGCCUACUACUAGGAUCUUGUAGAGCUACAUGACCAGCUAUAGGAUUCUCUCAAAUGCUUGAAAUUUAAAAGGUUUAUCUUCAAAACCGUUAAUUCAAUCGAUGAUCUGUUUUCACUGUUGGCUUUGUCGCGACAAAAUCUUCGAAACUAGAUCCCAUGUCGACAUGUUUCGACAAAAAAAUUUCCUUCCGUAAUUGCCACAUUGUUCCACUCACUUGCUAUAAUAUUAACCACUUACUUGCCCAAUAAAAUAACUUAAUUGCCAUAUUUUUUAUGUCGUUUUGUGCAAAGAUUUUGUCGAUACUUAUAAAUGCAGUCCGCAAAAUGUUUUGAUGUGCUUGUCAUUUUUAUUCUACUAAGUUGUCAUGUGGUCUCACAAAGCUUAUAGGUGCUUAUAAAAUCACAGUUGCCACAUAUAUUUUUUGUGCUUGUCAUUUUAAUCCUACCUCGUUAUCAUACUGUCUCAUACAAAUUGUCAGUCAUUGUAAAAAAUAGUUGUCACGGUGUUUGUUGUAUUUGUCUGUUGAAUUCUAUCCUCGGUUGUUAUGUUGUGUUUAAAUAAAAGGACAUUUGAUUGUUCUGAAACGUAGUUGUGAUAGUGUUUUGUUGUGCCAGUCAGUUAAAUUCUACUCAAAUCUCAUAUAAGCUUGUGAGUUGUUAUAAACACUAUAGUUGUUGUAUUUUUAUGUGCUUAUCAUUUUAAUGCUACCUAGUGGCCAUGUUGUCUCAUAAUGCUUUUCAUUGCUUAUAAAAUACACUUGUCACAAUGACAAGCACAAUUUUCUGUGGCAACUGAAUUUAAAAACACCAACAAGCUUUGUACGAAACAAUAUUGAAAUAUGGUAAUUAAGUUAUUUCUCUCAGACAAUUAAGUGAUUAAUAAUAUGACAAGUGAGUUAAACAAUGUGGCAAGUACGGACGUGAAAAAGUUUUCAAAACAUGUCGAUAUGGGAUUUAGUUUUGAAGACCUCGUCGCGAGAAAACCAACGGUGAAAACGGAUCAUCGAUCGAUUUAACGGUUCUUUAAAUAAAACUUUUUAAAGCUUAAACAUUAAAGAAGAUUCUAAUGAUAUCAAUGAAUAAGGAAAAAUUAGCCUAUAGCAAUAUAUAUCUGCAGCCCGGUCCCCUUUAUUAAUCUUUUUGUAAAUAUUUGUGCAUGAACACCAUAAUAGCCGCCGCACCGAAGGACCUGGGUGCGGCGCUGUAGUUGACUCCUUUAAUCAAUGAAUUUGGAGCUUUCGUGCCGACAUUCAAAAACUAUCAGCGAUGCGCCGUGAUAAUGUCCCGAGUUUUUYCAUGAUCCUCUUUAUGUUAAGAUUUCGCAACCGAGCCUUGAGUAUUAUCUGUACACUCUCGCAUGCAACUGUAUUACAACAUCAGUAUCCUGCCAUUGUAGUUUUCUUUGAGAGUACGGAGUACAUAGAACCAAAAUCACUAAAACGUUCCUCUUUGGUUCUCCACCGAGUGAAAUGCACAAAAUCCUCACAAAUCGUGUCCGUAAGAGCAACUCCAACGGGUGAUCCAUUUCUUUCGUCGCCGUCUGUUUGGAUUUGCAUGGACAAAAGUGAUGGUACAACAUGCGGAUUCAUUGUCAAAACGCGUUCGUUUCGCGUCCGCGUCGAUCCAUUUCUUGCCCAAAUUUGGGAUGAAAUGCGUCAGCAAAGCGGACGCGCGCGCCCUCUUGGUGUCCGCCCAACUACCCACACUCAACUUAAUUAAUGACGGCCAUCCUCCGCGGGCCCACGCGUCAGCAACCGCGGUCGGCCUUUUAAUCCGAACGUGCGGUGGGGAGGCGGAGGAGGAACGACUGGAGAUGAAGGAGGAGGAGCGCGCCCGUGCUGCGCUGCCACCGCCACCAGCACAACCCAUGUCGACGGGACAGACGACGGAGGCGCACGCAGCGGCGCUCUGGAACACGAUGUUUCCCUGGAGCGGCCCUGCGUCGACGCAGGUUGACCUCACCGGCCCCAACGUCAACGCCGCCGCCGCCUAGGGCAGCCUUGUAGUUUAGAUUUUUUUUUAAUGAUUAAUUAAUGUAAUGGGGACGCGUGGACUCUCCCCGAACUUUGUAGCCUGCUUUAAUAUUUAAUUAAUGUUUGUUUUAUUUCAAUCGUCGGCAAAAUAGGUCGAGCGAGCGUUGAGCACAUGCGCCGACUCAAAUGCAGAAAUGGACGUUGGUGUUCAUCGGGCCGACCCGAACGGACAAAUAGCGGAUAAAUUCACCUUUUGUUUGGUUCGAUCGGUUUGAGUUGCUCUAAAUGUAGAAAACUAUCAUAAGUGGCUAUACCACCCAAGGACAUGCUUACCCAUGCACGCAUAUGACCUACCGUACGUCUCGCAUGAUACAAGAGGCAAAAUUGACAAAAAUGACCCCUGGGGCGAAAGAACUCACGGAUUGACCCCUCGGGGGAAAUAAUUCACCGGCCUGAUCCUUUUGUGUGGCGCCCGACAACUAGGCGCCACACUGUACUGUGUGACGCCUAGGUGUUCGGCGCCACACCCCGACCACGUGGCAGGGAGGGGGCCACCCCCCAGGCAGUGUGACGCCUAAGCCUCAUGCGUCACACAUUGUAAUGUGUGGCGCCUAACGCUUAGGCGCCACACAUGGACUUAUACAGCCACGGCCCAGCCCCCCUCCCACCCCUCCCUCAUUCAAACAGAAAUUGCCACUGCGGCGGCGGUUGGCUCUCAUCCCCUCCCUAAUCCCCUCCCCAUCUCCUUCAGAUCUGGGGAUUUCUUCCUUGGAUUGAUCCCCCAAGGUAAUGCCCUCCCCAUCCCUUCCYUUCCCAUUCUUCUAUCCAAUUUUAUUAUGUUUUGGUUGAGUAGAUUGAUUUUAGUAGAUUGAUUUGAGUAGGUUCUUAGGAUUUGACUAGUUAGGAUAUGAGUUAGGAUUUGGUUGAGUAUACGAGUAGUUAGUAGUUAGUAGUAGUAGUAGUUAGUAGUAGUAGUAGGUAUAGGAAUUGCAUUAGGUUUGGUUUUGGUUGAGUAUAUGAAUAGUUAGUAGUAGUAGUAGUUAGUAGUAGUACUUAGUAUUAGUAGUAGUUAGUAGUAGUAGUAGGUAUAGGAAUUGUAUUAGGUUUUGACUAGUUAGGAUAUGAGUUAGGAUUUGACUAGUUAGUAUAUGAGUUAGGAUUUGGUUGAGUAUAUGACUAGUUAGUAGUUAGUAGUAGUAGUAGUUAGUAGUAGUAGUAGGUAUAGAAUUGCAUUAGGUUUGGUUUUGGUUGAGUAUAUGAAUAGUUAGUAGUAGUAGUAGUUAGUAGUAGUAGUUAGUAUUAGUAGUAGUUUAUAUGAGUAUAUGAGUCUUAUUUGAAUAUGAGUAUAUGAGUAAUUUUUAUGAUUUGUAGGAUGGUGUGGCUUCUGAAUAAUGUUUAUGACGUUGAACACCAGGCCUAUUUCAUGUCGGAGAAGAAGAUGGUAAGUAGAAAAUGAUUAGUAGAUGAGUAUUUUUUGAAAAUGUAAUAAGCACUUGAUAUCUUCUUCUCCUAUAUGUUUGCACGAGCUUACGCCCUUGAAGAUCCGGUCUCAUGGGGCAUCCUCUGUAAUGCAUUACGAUGAGCGGUACACCCCGUACAUCGAGAUGACGGGACUCCUUCCAUUCGUGCUGCUUGUGAGUCGGUCAACUCCCAAUCUGAACGCUGCGGCAGUCACAACACUCAUUGAUCGUUGGAGGCCGGAGACACAUAGUUUUCACCUCCGGACCGGAGAGAUGACGGUUACUCUUCAAGAUGUUUCCAUGAUCACCGCUCUUCCGAUCGAGGGGAAGCCACUAUGUAUGAGCACUGAUUCUGAGGGAUGGCGGCAACAAAUGGAGGCUCUUAUUGGUAUGUCGCCGCAGGAGCCGGAGGUAGAAGAUGGAGGGAAGAAAGAUAGAGUCCCUGCCGACGCCACUUUCACUUGGAUUGCCGCCAACUUUGCUCAUUGUCCUGAGGACGCAGAUGACGAGGUGAUCCACAGGUAUGCUUGCGUCUACAUGUGGUACGUCAUCUCUAGGACUAUCUUUGCGGACGGCACAGGCAAGAAUGCUCCAUGGAUGUGGCUGAAGGCGUUGACUGUUUUCGACAACAAGUUCAGCUGGGGCUCGGCCGCACUGGCUUACUUGUAUCGACAGGUAAUAAAUUGUUAGUAUUAAGUACUCUCUGUUAUCUUCUUCUGCUAAACUGAUGCAUGUUUGUUGUUACUUGUAGUUGGACGAUGCUUGUCGCAGGACGACAAAGGACGGUGGAGUUGGUGGUUGUAUGCUCCUACUUUCAGUAUGGAGCUGGGAACGCCUACCUGUUGGACGCCCUAAAAGCUCACAGUGGAAUACCUGGGAUGACCACGACAACCCUGUACGGCAACCUACAUGGGCUUACAAGUGGGACUUGGUAUCGGAGGUGGCAAGCGAAGUGAACCUAUUGUACAAGCAAUACACCAACGAGAUGGAUUCGCUUACCCCCGAGCAGGUAAGAUGGUUUCAGAGUUGACUUCCAGCUUCUAUGUUGUGAGUAAAAUGAAUUGUGGUAUUCAUCUUGUGUUGUAGGUUGAAUGGGAGCCAUAUGGUGUCAGGACAAACUUUGGUGAUGCACACACGUUCGAGCUGAAUCCACUAUGCGUGCAGGAAAGACAUCUUUGGCUAAUGCGUUGUCCCCUAAUAUGCAAUUGGGCGGUUGAGUUUCAUCUCCCGCAUCGUGUGAUGCGUCAAUUUGGUUACUUUCAGCCACACCCGCCGGAGUGGGUGGACACGGACACACAGCUUCACAGGUAACAAAAAUAAGUAGUGAUUAGUUUUGUUCUUAGUGUUGAGCGAGCUACUGAUGUGUUUUGUUCAAAGCAGGUUGGAUAGGAGGAGGCAGCGGAAAAUCAAGGAUUGGCAGAAGCAUCAUAAGAGCUAUGUCGUUAUGUUCGAGUAAAGUGUGCAGGCAACUUCGAGCAUACAACGAACCCAGUACCGCCAGCAUUGUCCUCUUGCGUUCAACAACUACCUAAGAUGGUUUCAGAAGAGUACUCGUGUCGAGAUUUGUCCGCCGCCUUACGAGGAGGACAUAUUGGAAGAACCCACUGAGUACGAUGCACUUGCCCAAGGCGGUUACAGCAAGUUGAUUCGCGAAGGGUACCAAACUUCCUUCGCCCCUGUCCUGAACUUUGUGGUAAGUGUGCUCCCCUAUGAAAAUUAUGAAUUCUAGUGGACCUAUUCACUUGCACUUAUUUGUUGUCAUUGUCUUGUGGUCAUAGCGCAAAGAGGUCAAGAAACAAGCUGAUGAGUCCGAAGAUAUUCUAGAUAACACACCUGGAGGACAAAAGGGAGAAUCUGCACUUCGUCUAUUUAUAAAGGUGUUGUGUCAUUAUUAUUAUUUUGCCCACGAAUGCAACAUUAUAGGUUACCUAAUAUAUGUCAUUUAUAUUUGAAUCUAACAGGAACAUGGCAAGAAGUUACAGCGCCUAUCCAACAUUUUAGGUUGCCGUGACCCUGAAUAUGUUUCACCUUCGAGAUCCGGUUCAUCCGAAAGAAAUACUCUUGACGAUUCAGCUUCUUCGGGCGCUCGCAUGGAUGAUGGUGACAUUACCUCGGCGGCUAAUACCCAAAGAAAUACUGUAGAUGAUGAUGUUGACACUCCUCAGGUAUGACAUAGCCAUACAAUUUGCACUUUCAACCUUCAGCUUUGAACCUUCAAAUUUGAACUUUCAACCUUCAUAUGUACUAGCAAACGAGCCCGUGCGUUGCAACGGGAGAAAAAGAAAACACGCUCUUAACCCAAUAACCAUGAUUUAAUACCACGCCAAUUAAUUUAGGCUGCAUAAACUUGCACGUGGGCGCCUGUGGACAAAUGAAAUAUAUUUAUGGGACAUUUCAGUCCGAAUAUCCCACGAGCAGCCAACAUAAUUAUAUACGGAGAAAUAACAGAGGUAGGAGCUAGCGUGAACCAAGUGCUCAGAGUAGUGCUAGACUAUACUAAUUUGAUUUGUGGCAAGUAAUAAAAAACAAAGGUUUGCUUUAUGUCUGCUGAGAAAGUAAGUUAUCGGUGUCAUCACCUCGGUUUGGCAAAACGAAAUCAAGAGGGCCGGAGCAUUGUACGGUCAGAAACAGAGUCACGGUCAGAAACAGAGUCCAAAACAAACACGGGAGCGCAGGCAACACUGACAGGCAAGGCGUAGGAGGACCUUCAUAGGUCAGACGGGCCCGAAUCCGACGCGCUCUGUGCUCCGGCGCGUGUCGGGGGGGGGGAGUCCGAGGGCGGCGGUGCGCAAUGUCGUGUGGUAUGGCUCCGGGAGCCUGGACGAGGUGGGAAGUAGGCUGGAUCGCCUAAACCUGGCCAUAUCGGCCGCCCUGGUGAGGAGGGUGGUCGACUUGUGUAGUGAGAGGAGUGAUUCGGGCAGGAGGCUGUUGCGGUUCCUGUCGUGGUGCCGCUCCAAGGACCCCGCCGGAUUGGGGGAUGAGGAGCACGACAGGGCGAUUGCGGUGCUUGCACGGAUGGGUGACCUCCUCGGCCUCGCGUCACCGGUGACAGGGCUGAGCUCCCUUGCGUCCUCGCUGGAAGCAGGCAGCCGGCGUCCUCCUACGCAUACUUGACCCGCCCCUCGGCCUCACGUCACCGGCGACAAGGCUGAGCCGAGCUCCCCGAGCUCCCUCGCCUCCUCGCCGAAGCCGACGGCCGGCUGGUCGCCUCCUCCCCGAAGCCGACGACGGCUGGGAGCUUCCUCGCCUCCUCGGCUCCUCCUGCACAUCCUCGCCCCCGUCUCCUCGCGCCCGCGCGCCCCUUCCUCGACCCCGCCUCCUCGUGCCCGAGCUGAGAUGCCGGCGGUGGGCGUGCGUGGUCUCUGGAUAGGAUAGGAAGACGCUGACCGCGGGGAGGGGGAUUUUGUAAAAAUGAAACGUUUUUCAACUAUAAACAGUGGACUGCGGGUUUAUUCAGCCAAACGACAAGGACUUUUUUGUAAAAAUGCCUCAACGGAAAUUCCGACAGAAGCGAUAGCCGCUUUAUUAUUAGGUAAAUAUAAUACUCUAUGAUGGAUCGAUCUGGCUGACCCAGCGGGUCACCCGACGCCGGUUCUGUUAACCCAAAUCUUGUUUGAGGCCGUCUCACAUGGCCCAUUGGCCUUGAAUUUUUGGGUCGUCCAUUCUCAUCCUAAUACGGCCGACCCGGUCCAUUCUUAUCCUGAUACAUGGGGCUCGUCGCUCCGGUGAUAUGGCUCAGCCGCCGACAUUCUUAAAUUUUACACGCAUACGCGUAACAUUUUGUUUAUUUGUACAUUUUUCAGAUUUUUAAAAUUUAAAUUUGAAUUUUGAUUUUUUUAGAAGGGCCUCCAUGGAGGCCCAGAGCCAAAACGCCUCACUCCAAAAGCUGCUGCUUUACAACUCCAUUUCUGCAACAUACAUGCACAACUACUAUUGUCAUUGUUGCACUCCUGUACGUUGUUGCUACGUCCAUCCAAGUUCAUGAGGAUAAUAAAAAGAAACAGCUAGCACUAUGCUUACUGCACGCAAGACAAGAUUCAAUUCUCUGGUACGGCAGUAGUACUUUGCACGUACUCCCUCCGUUUGCGCUCAUUCAUCCAUUUAUUGUAUUCAUUCAUCCAUUUUGCAUCAUGUACAGAACCAAAAUAAUCACAUCAGAAUAGCAUUAGUUUGAAGCAGAUGAGCAUUCUAUUCUCAGGCAGCAAAGGCAUUUUAUACACAUGUUGGUGAAUGGCAAAACCUAAAUUUUCUUUGUUUGUUGCAAGACGAAUGAUCCGAAAGAAGAUAGCAAUAGCAUUCAAAGCCAUACAUUUGUUUUGUAUACACGACGUGAACGGCAAAAUUUACAGCGUUGAAGAUGAUCAGAAAGAAGAAGGGGGAAAAGUGAAACCUUCAAAUCGAUCAGAUCAGCUAACAGCUACUGCAAUUCGCCCGCCUUGACCUCAAACUCUUCUCUGGUUGAUAGUAUCUUCACACGAACCAUGCCUCGCUCCCACUCGGAUUUCCCAACCAAGAUCAGCCUGCUAGCGUUUAUCCUCUCCGCAUGUUUGAACACCCUGCAGCAUAGUAAACAUUAAUUACAGAUACACCCACCCACAUAAUUAUUCAACACAAUGGGAAAAAUAGAAAUUAAUGGAAGGCAAUACCAUUUCAGACGCUUGUCUUCUACAAGGUCUGCAGAUCUGCCCUUCUUCCGCAGAGAGGAUGCAACGCUAGAUGCUGGCCCUUCAAGCUCCUCGUCCAAUGGGAACACAAUGUCAUCUAUUUGACGUGACAGGUCAGGCAAAAGACCCUUUUCUUUUAGCAGCUGUCAGAAAAUGUGUAAAUUAUAGAGUUUGUAUUACUGCCACUUAAACUGCAUCUCAAAAAUUCAUAAUGACAUGUAAACAAUGACAAUCUUUUCCACAUGAAUUCACGUUAUUAGCACUACUCAACUUGAUAAAAUCUUAGCCAACCUUCUCUGAAUUUCCUAUUGUUACUUUAUUUUACUUCAUAUUAGCAGGACUUUCUCAUAUCUUUACCAGAAUAUCAAUUUUAUAGGAACUUUAAUCUUUGACCAAGCAGCUUUCUUCGCUCGGCAUGAGAAAAGGAACCAGAGAAAGGGGAGAAAAUUAGUAUUGUAUCAUACUUCCACUAUAACAGCAUCUCCAAAUCCAAAGCCACAGGCUGGUACAUCUUCAGUUCCAAAUGUUGACAGUAGCCUGUCAUACCUCCCCCACCACAAAUCGCUCUCAGUUCCCCUUCCCUAUCAAAAGCCUGAAAACAUGGAUCAAGAGAGUUCAGUAUGAAACAAGAGUUGGUGGCCAAAAAAAGAUGGAAUGCCACUUUUUCAGGACCUCAAAAACAAUCCCCGUGUAGUAUGCAAGGCCACGAACAACAGAUGCAUCGAAACAGAUCCAAUCAGCAUAACCAUAUUGCUCAGCAAAUGAGAAGAGCUUCUUCAAGUCAGCAACGGCUUCAACACCGGAGCCUAGCACCUCUGCAUGGGAAUAUCAAAAUGAGUGAUCCCUUUCUGGAUAAAUGGGUGGACUUUGCUUUCUUUUUCCAGAAUGUUACACAAAUAUGGAUGCCAUAAGAGAAAAAAUUGGACAGGAUCAACAAAUUUAACACAAAGAUACCAAAGUACAGCACAACAGUAUACCAACAUAUUGCGGAUGGAAUCCCUCCUCUUACAGCUGCUGAAAGCCGUGUUGAUGCUGAUGAUCAUGAGGUACUUGUGCCUUCCAAACGACUCGAAGGCCUUAUACUCCUGUGAAACCGGAGAGCCGUUGAGGAAUGACUCCUGCAGUGUCCUUGCAGCCGGAAGCUCCGUCUCCAAGUUUCCUAUUGUCUUGUCCAGUGUCCUGCAGGAGGAGGAGCCAUUUGAACUCUAGUCAGAUAAAAAUCCACCUUGAUGCUUUGCUGGAAAAAUCAAAGGUACAAUAAGGCACGCGUGUUUGUUUUAAAAAGCAGGCUAUGCCGUUUAGCGGCGGCUCAGCCAUCAGCUAUUUGAAGCUAUAGCUUUGCUGCGGGCUAUGCCACUAUUUAGCGGUUUUGCUUCAAUCAUGAAUAAAUCAAAAAUCAAUCAUACAAUUAAGCAUUACAUGUAUAUAUUAUGCAUACUUAUACAUACAUACAUCAAUUUCAUCCAGCGCAAGCAUCAAUAUGACAUAUACUUGGCGUCAACCUAUCGUAUUUAUGAUAUAUCAGAUACACACAAUCACAUAUUCAUCCAGCCCAAGCAUAACCAAGUAAUCAGGCAUCGUAUAAUUCAUAUCUCAAAGUACAAGUACAUCAAGGUAUCAAGAACAAAUCAAUAGAAAAGAUUUGGAGGAAGCUUGCCUUGCAAUGAAGCCGGAGGUGGCUGGUUGCAACUACAGGUGGAAUCGUGAUGCAACCGCCGUCGUCGUUGCCGUUUCCCUUCCUCGCCUUGACUAAGUCGACGGCGCCCGUGGCCGCCUUGGCGCCCAAACACGCUCGACCGGCCGUCGUCGUUGCCGUUUCCCUUCCUCGCCUUGACUAAGUCAACGGCGCCUGUGGCCGCCUUGGCGCCCAAACACGCUCGACCGGCCGUCGUCGUUGCCGUUUCCCUUCCUCGCCUUGACUAAGUCGACGGCGCCCGUGGCCGCCUUGGCGCCCAAACACGCUCGACCGGCCGUCGCCGUUGUGUGCCGAAGGCACCGCCGCCACGCGCAUGCCAAGGUCACGAGGCCUGCGUCGCUGCACUCCUAAGGGGCUUCGCGAAGAGGAGUUCAGGUCCGCCGGGUCCUCUUNNNNNNNNNNNNNNNNNNNNNNNNNNNNNNNNNNNNNNNNNNNNNNNNNNNNNNNNNNNNNNNNNNNNNNNNNNNNNNNNNNNNNNNNNNNNNNNNNNNNUUAAAUUCAUGGACAUUGUUUUAGGAAUUUGCAAAAAAAUAUAAAAAUCCGGUGCUUUUUUGAAUCCUAUUUUAAUUCAAAAUAAAAAUUCGUGAGCAUUUUAAUUCAAAAUUCCUAUUUUUUAGUACGCAAAUUUUUUUGUAAUUCUAAAUUAUUUAAAUUAUAAAUAAAAAAUGGAACGGAAAUUUUAAAUAAAAAAGAAACUAUCAAAACAGGCACUAGAUAUUUUUAAAAUUUCAAGACAUUUUUAAAUGCAUUAACAUAUUUUGAAUUAGAAAGCAUUUUGUUAAAUGCCUUUAAUAAUUUUUAAUACAUGGAAUUGUAUUUAAGGUCAUGGACUUUUCUUAUUGUACAAACAUUUUUCUAAAAUUGCAAACAUUUUAUUGUAUAUGCGAGCAUUUUUACAAAACUCCGAGCAGUUUUUGAAGUCACAAACAUUUUAAUUUUUAAAAUAUGUUGAUUUAUAAUUUUCAGUUUAUUAAAAUUUUAAAGAUUAUUUGAAGUUCUAAAUUAUUUAAAAUAAAAAAUAAAACGGAACUGAAAAUAAAUAAAUAAACGGAACUAAAAGCAGGCGCCUGUGCAUGGGCCGGCCCUUACGGUGUGUUGGAUAUUCUCCAAGCGUGCAGAGCGUAAUAUAGGACGUUUUUAUAUGGGUCGGCCUAGUCCAAUAUGUUUCGCUUUGUGAAACGUUUUCUAUUACUUACCGGUGGCAUGGUGGGUAAAUUAUGCAAAUUUUAGGGGUAAUUUUCAAGACGGACGACCAGAAACCGUAUUUGCUUUAUUAUUACUAGCACAAAUGCACGUGCGUUGCAACGGGUGAAAACAAUCCUUCCUCUCCACCUCCUUCACACACACAAGAUAAAAUAACAAAUUAUUUGAAAACCCAUCAUUAUAUCACAUGAGCAACAAUAUGAUACGUUUGUCCAAAAAACAUGUGCAAAAUCAUAAAUAUUGGAAGAUUCUUUAAUUGUAUCGAAGGAAUACACAUCACUAUAACACCCUCGGAAUAAAUCACAUAGAUUGUAAACCGUCAGUUUAGUGGCAGAGCUAUGUUGGGCCAUCCGUGUUGUGGCCCGCCCAAUAUAUGAAAAUUUAUACCUAUACAUAUAUGUGUGGGGUCUUAAAAACAUGCCCACUUAUAACAAGUCGGCCAAUCAGUACACACAAUAUAUUAGAGUGAACCACAACAUGCAUCUCCUUCUUUAUAGGUUCUUUUUCUCUAAUUAUCACAUGUAGGGCUUGUAUAUCCACACCUUUAGAGCUAAUCAUUGUUAGUUCAGGCUAACAGAUCGUGAGUUCUAUUUCAACUUGGUUGCAAUAUUUUUCUACUUUGAAAGAAGCCUAAGGCUGGUCCAGAAAGCGCAACAGAGAGGUAACUGGGCUACAGAUUCGCUUACGUCGCUUGGUCCAUAAUUUUGAUAGCGACGUACAGAAAACGUUUCCUUUUAGCUUUUAUUGGGCUAUGGAUUAGUUGUCCAAAAAUAGAAGUUUUUUUGUAAAACAUACGUGACGGAUUGAAAAUACUUAUUUUUAUUAGUUGGUAUAGAUUAAAGACUAAAAAGUAGGUAUAGAUAGGAUAGAAAUAAGAUAAAAAAGGAAAAGAAAAAAAAGCAAUAUCCUAGACGAAAACUGAGUGAUCGCUUGUAAUAGACCACAUAUAGGAAGGAAAAUGGAUGAAAAAAGGGAAAGAAAAAAGGGACAACCUAGGCUCGAACCCAGGUCUCUCCAAUAGAAGUCCAGUCCGUAGCCACUACGGCAACCAUCAUGCGAGUGUUAAAUUUGGAGAUCGCCGCUGAAUAAAUGAAGAAAAUUGUCGGGACUUGUGUAAAGAAAACGAAUCGUUUUUCUCACUUAUCGGUGGCAUGAUGGGUAAGUAUUCACAACUUCAAGGGUAAACAUAUGACGGACGACCAAAAACCCAAUUUGCUUUAUUAUUAGGAAGAGAUAUAUAUACUAGCAAAAUGGCCCGUGCGUUGCCACGGAAGAAAAACAUAAUCUUCAAUGAUGAUGACCAUAUUAUGUUCACAUAUCAUCGCUUGAUUUAGAAAUUUUGUGCACAAAUGCAAGAAAAUGUUUCUUCUUUUAAAUUUAUUCAUAAGUUGAAGCAAUCUUUACAUUUUCAAAAAUAUAUAUUAUGAUUGUCAAAAAUCUUGUAACUCAAAGAUUUAUUCUGAAUUUCAAGAUAUUUUUAGAAAACAUACAAUAAUAAUCCGAUCCAUCCAACAGUUAAUUCUUUAAAAUUCACACAGAUAUAUUGUCACAUAGACUUAAAAACAUUAAUGUUUAACUACAAACAUUAGAUCUUUCAUGAAUAAUUUUACAAAUAUGGGAACAAUUUUAAAAUCGAUAACAUUUUUUACAAUUUACAAACAUUUACUAAAAAUCGUGAAUAUUUUUUAUAUUUCGAACGGGUUUAAAUAUUUUCUUUUGAAUUGACGACCAAUUCAAGAAAGACGUACAUAAUUUUUUAUGUUGGAGGAUUUUAUUUUAAGUACACAAACAUUUUUGAAACACAUGAAGUUUUUCUGAAUAAACAAACAUUUUUAUAAAUCAGUAAUAUAUUUAUUAAUUUCAUGGACAUUGUUUUGGAAUUUGCAAAAAUAUAUAAAAAUGCGGCGCUUUUUGAAUCCUAUUUUAAUUCAAAAUAAAAAUUCAUCAGCAUUUUAAUUCAAAAUUCCUAUUUUUUAGUAAGCAAAAGUUUUUCUAAAUCUAAAUUAUUUAAAUUAUAAAUAAACAAAAAUGGGACAGAAAAUUUUAAAUAAAAAAGGAAACUAACAAAACAGGCAUUAGCUAUUUUAAAAUUUUAGGACAUUUUUUAAAUGCAUUAACAUAUUUUCAAUUAGAAAGCAUUUUUUAAAUGCUUUUAAUAAUUUUUAAUACAUGGAAUUGUAUUUGAGAUCAUGGACUUUUCUUAUUGUACAAACAUUUUUCGAAAAUUGCAAACAUUUUAUUGUAUAUGCGAGCAUUUUUACAAAACUCCGAGCAGUUUUUGAAGUUACAAACAUUUUAAUUUUUAAAAUAUGUUGAUUUAUAAUUUUCAGUUUAUUAAAAUUUACAAAUUAUUUAAAGUUCUAAAUUAUUUAAAAUAAAAAAUAAAACGGAACUAAAAUAAAUAAAUAAACGGAACUAGAAGCAGGCGCCUGUGCAUGAGCCGGCCCAUACGGUGUGUUGGAUAUGCUCCUAGCGUGCUGAGCGUAAUAUAAGACAUUUUUACAUGGGCCGGCCCAGUCCAAUAUGUUUCGCUUUGUGAAACGUUUUCUAUUACUUACCAGUGGCAUGGUGGGUAAUUUAUGCAAAUUUAGGGAUAAUUUUCCAGACGGACGACCAGAAAUCGUAUUUGCUUUAUUAUUAAUUAACUAGGAAAAGGACCCGUGCGUUGCAACGGAAGAAAACAAUUAUAAUCUCCAAUGAUGCUAUGUCUUGAAAAAUUUAGGACAUUUCUUGAAAUGCAUGAACAUUUUUGAAUUAGCAAACAUUUUUUCAAUUGCACUCAAAAAAUAACACAAAAACAUUUUUUCAAAAUCAUGGACUUUUAUUGUUUUCACCAACAUUGUUCUCAAAAUUAUGAACAUUUUUCUGAAUAUGCGAAUAUUUUUACAAAAAUCCUGAGCAUUUUUUGAAUUCACAAAUUUCUUCAAAAUUUUAUUUCAAUAUUCCCAGUUUUAUAAAUUUCAAAAGUUUUUCAAAGUUCUAAAUUAUUUCAACUAAAAUAUGAAAUAGAAAAAUGAAAAUAAAAAUGAGACUAAAAACAGAGGCACAAAUUGUUUUUAAGAUUUUUACACAGACUUUUGUUUAAAAUCGUUGACUUUUUUAUCUGAUGGACAUUUUCUCAAAGUUUAAACAUUUUUUAUAUGCCAACAUUUUUCAAACUCCUGAGUAGUUUUUGAAUUCUCAAAAAAAAUGUUUUUUUGAAUAUUUUAUUUCGAAAUUCUCAAUUUCUUAAAAUUGAGAAAAGUUGUUUGAAGUUCUAGAUUAUUUAAAGUAGAAAAACAAAAUAGAACUGAAAAGAAAAUAAAAACUAAACUAAAAAGACACGCGCCAACGCAUGGGACGGACCAAACAGGUGUGCAGCAUCUUGGAUGAUGUACGAAAGAAGCACUAUUUGCUUUAUUAGUACCAGCAAAAAGGGCCCGUGCGUUGCAACGGGAGAAAAAAUACCACACACUUUUAAUCUUUUUAUAAUCAUUUUGAUUUAUUAAAAUAAUAAGCUAACUAACUAAUGUAGUCAGUCCUAUCCUAUUUUGUUGAGAAAUCAACCCGUCCAUUGUCAAUUCCACCAUGAUGAGAAAUUGAGCGGGACAAGCAAAGCAAAACGAAGAGGCUACGUGAAUUGAUCAAUGGUCUGUUAUCUUAUUUCACUCAUGGAGUAGAGAAUGUGAGAUCAGAUGACAAACUGAAGGUGGUGUUCCAUUCUCUGUCUAUACAACAAUACAAUCUUACAUUCAAUACAUUCAUUCAUCAGCAAAUAAAUCCUCACAAAACAAAAUUUAUUGUCGGUGCUUGGCACACGGUUGGAGGCAUGGGGAGGGGAUCUCACCAGAUGAUGAGUUCCUGCCGGAGGAGGGGCUACGAUGAGGGGAGCAAGGGUUAGCCGCCUCUAUCUGGCCAUAAGGAGUCGCCGUUGCCGCGCCAUAACCUCGGGGUUCCCCGUGUGAGCCAUGGAGGCCCGCCUCCACCUGCAAGUAUUUCGCUCCGCCGCGCCUUACCCGCGCGCCGCCGUCCUUCUCCGUCGAGCAGACGCAUCAUCCCCAAUCACUGUAGUUGUCGCGUUGAUUUGAUCCAGAAGUUGUGCUCGAGCGCCAAAACGGGGCAACAAGCGGGCAGAGGUACGGCCGCGGAGGCGGGUGGGUUGAGAUCGACAAUAGUGGUGGUUGAGGUCGGCCGCGGCGGUGAGUGGUAUGGCAGCGGCCUGGGCACAUGCCAGGGUGGACCAGGGUCGACGCGAUGCGCUCGAGCGCCGCACGGGGGCMGUAGUCUAGNNNNNNNNNNNNNNNNNNNNNNNNNNNNNNNNNNNNNNNNNNNNNNNNNNNNNNNNNNNNNNNNNNNNNNNNNNNNNNNNNNNNNNNNNNNNNNNNNNNNGGCCCAGUCACGGACCGCGGCSURGMURKGGGUGCAGCAGCCGGCCUUUUAGGCUGCAGUGACGUGCAAACUUUCUUCAGAUCGGCAGCGGCGGCGUGGAGGGUCUGGUGGUUUCGUCGGCAGCACAUCCGGUCAGAUUUGUUCUGACCGAUGCGACCGGCGGUGGUGGUCAUCUCUUCCGUCAGAGGUGGUCGGCCUGAGGCUGGGUGUUCGGAUCUCCGAAUCCAUGAUCCAGUACUGGUUGCGAGUCGGGGAGACAUAGUUGCUGGUGAAAACCGAGCCGACGGCGAGCGAUGGCGGCGUUCUACGUCGUUACCUUGACGAAGGCAUCGUUGUGUGACUUAUGUCGACCCACUCGUACUGCUCUAGGGGAAACCCUAUGAUCUGGUCUUCCAGAUCGGACGAUGACGGUACUGCGGUGGCGUUUCUCUCUUAUGAGCAUCGUUUGUGGAGCAGUGCUGGUGGUCAGAGGCAGGAGAUGGAGCGGCUUCGUCUUGCACGGAGCUUUGGUGGAGAUGUCAAGUCAUGCCUCGACGACAGGUGCUACGCUUUUCAUGCCUGGUCGGCACAUGCUACGCAUGACAGAUCUUCUAGAAACUUCAAGCUGUGUCGGCUGGUGGUACUUGGCGGCAUGGAGCUGAGGUGUACCGGUGGCGACCGCGACGUGUUCAGCAAUUCGUGCGCAGGGUGGUGGUGCCGUUGGGCGCCGUGGUGGCGUUGACGGCGGAUAGACCAGGCAAGGAUGAUGCGUCAGUACAGCUCUGAAGAUGCAGUAGUGGCAGUUGGCGGCGGCGGCCUCUGAGAGCAUGCCGAACCGGUGGGUGCCCCAUACCCGGCAAGUGGCUUGGUUGGGGCCUCAGGUCUUAGAUGUUAGGCUUCUCUGCGAGGUCUGUGGUAUUAGGCCCGGACUAUCAGCAUCUCUUCAUCAGAUGGACAGUUGUCGCCUAGUCGGUGGCUUCAGACUUAUUGUUAUAUUUCUUUGUAAGGUCUUUUGUGAAUAAUUAAUAAAAUGGUUGCAUGCAUCGUCCAGAUGCAGGCGAUCCUCCUUUUCUAAAAUAAAUGUGAUGUCGUCUGCAGCUUUGAUGUGGAAACUCACUAAUACCAACAGCUAAAAGGGGAAAUGUCUGUGCUCUUCAAAUCAAAAUAUUGGCAAAAUCAUCAUUCAACAGUAUUAUUUGAUGUGGAACCUCGCCGAUACCUUGCAAUACCAAAAGGGAAAAUGCGUGGAAAUCAGCAUGCUCUUCAAAUCAAAUUAUUAGCGAAAGUUAAGAACAGAAAACUAAUGCAAGAUCUGACAAUUCUGGUUUUUUAAGGGCAAUUCACACAUUGUCGUGCUAGUCUAUUCUGACAAAAGACUGAUAGAAGGAUUGGAAAAAUCUAGAAGGCACAAAUAUUCGAGAAAAAUGGAAGAUACAAAGUCUAAAUUGGAUAUAAGCAUAUAUAUGCAGUCUCAAAUUCAGCUAUGUCGAUAGCUCAAUGAUAAACUGGGAACAUGCAAGUCGUAAAGAAAUGAUACACCAGAGCCACUACUUUGCUUAUUGUCCAUGUUAACUCUCAAGGAUAGCUUCUAUUCAUAUAUAGUCUGCGUAAACAUGGAUGCUUACCUGGCCAGAUGGAUACCAAAAUACAACCAGAUACCAGAAGAGUAGAAGACUAUGAAGCCUCAACAUCCAUAGAAAACUCAGUUCUACACAACACCAUGUUGACACAUAGCUAGGUUUGAUCUCAAUUAAAUAUAUAACAGAUGAUUUCAAGAAGUGCAUAUCACAUUCUUCGUCAUCUUAUCUUAAGUGCUUUGAGUGUCGGUUGCCGACCAGUCUUCUCAAAUACAACAUUACCUGCAAUGGCGUGCAAAUGAAGAAACACAAAUUAUUGCAAUUGAGUAAAAUCCUAGUAGGUUGCAAAAUCUAGAGCUAAGAAGCUAAAAAUCACAUAUAUAUAGCUAUUGCUAUUUGUUGUCGAUCAAAAGAAUUUAACUUGUUAUAGUGACCCUGUUUAGUUUGCAUGACUACAUAUGGCAACAUGCGCAAUGUUGUUGAAUUACAAGAAGCCUGAACAUCCAUAGAGAACAUAGGAUUGUACAACACCAUGUUGACACAUAGGUUUGAUCUUAAAUAAUACAUAUACGGUAAAAAGCAGAACCUAGGUCAAACGAGGACUGAGUAUGGAGUUUCUAGCUAAUGAUGUCCUCACGUACAACUACAAAACAAAUAACACAGAGCCACCCCAUGGAAAAUAGACCUCUGGCAAUUAAUAAUAUUCAUCGUUAAUAUUGAAGACCUUUUUUGAGCAAGAACCUCCUGCGUGCAAUAGGGAAGAGGGAGCUACCAAUACCAUGGUGCACACCAGGCCACCAACGUCAUCACUUCAUUGCAGAGGAGACGAGUCAGGAUGGAUUACUGCAUGAAGGAGAUGAAUCAAUUAGGACAAGAGACCUCCCUCAGUCCAUCUCUCACUAUGAGCACAUCGUAUAAGAUAGAGGCAAGAUAUACCAGGAGAAGGAGCAGCCCUGCAUGUAAGGAGGACGGAAGCGCGGCAACCAUCUGGACAACUGCUCGCUUAGGGACGUCGGUACAUACUACCAGCGGCGCCGCCAAGUAGCGUCCGUUCACUUUGCCUUCGCCAGUGUGAACUAAGUCUGCUGCUGUUGUUGCAAUUUGGAAAAUGCCGAGGAAGAAAUAAGGUGCCAAUGCAUGCUGAAAUCACUUCAGAACAAUGAUCAUCCGGGUGGUUGCUUCAUCUGUUGCAAGCUCCUUUCCAUUCCGCAUAACCUAAAUAAAAAAUUAAGUAAUAAAACAUUUACUAAAUUAUUCAUAGAAAACAAAGCUUGGAUAUCAAGAUGUACUAUACUGGUGGAUAAAACAAUCAACCGUUACACCACAUUGCUAAAAGCUGAGAUCACGGCCCAAACUCAAAAAUAGAUUAAUCACGUAAACUUACACAUCAAAAUGCAUGUACACACAUGUAUUUUCAUCGAUCUAAGUGCUAGACAGCAGCAUAUAUUGAAAUAUAGAUUGGACAGCACCAUCAAAAUUUAUGGCCAUCACUGAAGAAAAUCAGAUAGCAUAGGAAGGAAAGAGAGCAACCAAACUGAACAAACAUGAAAUAAAAUAUGGCCAUCGUUCACAUCUGAAUCUCCUAUCUAUAUAUCUCUGCUAUAACAUAUACAAGGGGAGUGGGUUAGGAUCUGUACUGGUGCCAUCGUUGCUAGCCUUCGUACAAUCCGCCGUAGCCGCUGCUGGCAUGCCACACGCCCGCCAGCCCGCUGCUACUCCAUGCCGAGAGAGGGAGAGACGAGGGGUUGUCGAGGGAGAGGUGGCCGCAAAGGCAGAGACGCAUGAGUUGUCAUUGCCGGAGCAGAUCGAGAUGGGGCGAGAGUCCAGUGGGCGGCGGCGAUGGAAUUGGGAUAGGGUUCGGGAGAGAGUCGGGGUAGAGGUGAGAGACGAGAGAUGAGUGGGCGUUCCGCGUUUGUGGUUAACUGAGAUUGGUUACUGGGCCGUGGACCAUGGUGCGUAGGCCCGAUCAACAGGAACGCUUCGAUUUUUUACCGGAGUAGCGUCCCAUGGCCCAUUGAGCGAGACACGAACCACCAACAUAUAUCGGACGGCUAGAAACGGAUAUAUCACAUAAAUGAACAACCACAAAAACUAAAUCGCUGAGAAGGCUUCAUUUAAGCUCCAUUUUACUGUCCUAAAUUAUUAACUUUUGCCUAUUUGUUUGAUUAGCCAGUACAACGACACUUUUUCUUCGGAUGUCAAAUGUUUGUUGGAGAAAUUUAUUGUACCUGCUAGAGAUUAAUAUAGAUAAAAGUAAUUAAUGUUUGCCUCAACUGCUUUAUACCAUUCCUCUCGGUUCUGAAGUAGCAUCUGUCUCAUAGCCGUAGUUGGAAACCAAAUCUAAAGUUCCAUCUUUUCUUGGAAAAUAAAAUUGUGGCAAUAUCGUAUUGUCUUACACAAUACAUACUUCUUCUUUUUACACGACGGAGGUCAACGUUAUUAAUGGUCGUGGCUGCCAGUGUGAUGCCUUCUUUGACAUCUCCACUGUUACAAACUCUGAAAGGUUGUUUUCUUUCAUUGUAAUGCACAGACAUAUUUACUAGUUCUAUACUUUUCUUCCUAAUCUCUUCUUAUUUUAUCUUACUUUUUACCUACUAAUAAAGCAAAUAGUGAUUCUUCCGUACGUCAUUCAAAUUGCCUUUAAAGUUGACUAAAAUUACCCACCAAUGCCACCUAUAAGUCAUAAAAACGUUUCAAACAGGAAAAUAUCCGGACUGGGCCGGCCCAUGUAGGCACCUCCUAUAUUACGCUCUGGGCAUUGGAAAAAGAUGCAUCACACAUGUUUGGGCCGGCCCAUGCGUGGUCGCCUGUUUUUUAGUUUAGUUCUUUUAUUUUAUUUUCAGUUCCAUUUUGUUUUUCUACUUCAAAUAAUUUAGAACUUCAAACAACUUUUCUUAAUUUUAAGAGACUGAUAAUUUCGAAAUAAAAUAUACAAAAAUACAUAUAUUUUUGAGAAUUCAAAAACUACUCAGGAGUUUUGAAAAAUGUUUGCAUAUAAAAAAGUUUUAAACUUUGAGAAAAUGUCCAUAAAAAGUCAACGAUUUUCAACAAAAGUCCGUGUAAAAAUCUUAAAAACAGUUCGUGCCUCUGAUUUUAGUCUCAUUCUUUAUUUUCAUUUUUCUGUUCUAUUUUUAGUUUAAAUAAUUUAGAACUUUGAAAACUUUUGCAAUUUAUAAAACUGGGAAUUUUGAAAUAAAAGUUUGAAGAAAAUAUAAAAUGUUUGUGAAUUCAAAAAUGCUCAGGAUUUUUGUAAAAAUAUUCGGGUAUUCAGAAAAAUGUUCAUAAUUUUAAGAACAAUGUUGGUGAAAACAAUAAAAGUCCAUGAUUUUGAAAAAAGUUUGUGUGUUAUUUUUUGAGUGCAAUUGAAAAAAGGUUUGCUAAUUUAAAAAUGUUCAUGCAUUUCAAGAAAUGUCCUAAAAUUUUAAAGACAUAAUAUGAUCAGCACCAUUGAAGAUUAUAAUUAUUUUUCUCCCAUUGCAACGCACAGGUCCUUUUGCUAGUCUAUACCUAAUAAUAAAGAGGCUAUCGCUUUCAUCGAAAAACCCACCGCGUUAUUUUUAUAAAAAAGUCCCUGUGAUUUUGUUAUUCAACCCACGCUCCAUCAUUUAUCUGCAACCCAAAAGGAAAAACGAUUCGCUGCAAAAUUAUACCCGUACGCAUCGCCUCCGUCGACCCUGGGACAACCUGGCCUGUGCCCAGGCCGCCGCCACACCACUCGCCGCCGCGGCCGACCUCAACCGCCACCGCUGCCGAUCUCAACCCACCCCCUCUCGCCGGGCCAUACCUCUCCCCGCUCACUNNNNNNNNNNNNNNNNNNNNNNNNNNNNNNNNNNNNNNNNNNNNNNNNNNNNNNNNNNNNNNNNNNNNNNNNNNNNNNNNNNNNNNNNNNNNNNNNNNNNGAGGUCGUGGUGACGGGGAAAAUGGGACGAGGAGAGGGGGGGUUCUUAUAGGGGGCUCGGGAGGCGCCGGGAUGGAAGGACGAGGGAGAUCGGGAAGGGAGGAUUUCUUGUCACCAUUGCUAUGGAAGUUCCUCGGAGGAGGGAGAACGUGAGGAAGAAGAAAUCAUGUUGGGCCAGUUUUUUGGAAACCUGUUAAUGGGCCAGCGCUUUAUUUCCAAAAAAUGAGAUCUCUUUCCUCUAUUCAAAAACUGGAAAGUAAACGAUUAAAAGGAAACCAAAUAAAUUCAUAAUAAAUAGUUUUUAUAUACUAAAAUUAUCAGAAAAUAAAAUCUAAAUGAUGGAUAUUUUUCCACGGCCAAAAUAAAACUUAAUUUUUUUUCAGAAAAUCCCUAAAUGCUUUAUUUCUUUUUGCAAAUAUUUUCUCAAUUAAAUUUUGGUUUUAUUGGCUCAAAAUAUUUCAAUGAAUGCCCCUGGUUUUGGAGGCUCAUGUUCCUGCUCUCUUUGUUGCUUGGCAAGAAUUUAUUCCCGGCAUUUCCUGAGUGGAGAAGAAUAGAAUUGCAAAACAAAAUCGAACGAAAAUUCAAAUGCCACCUUCAUUCAAAUUCUUUAUAGUUCAAGAAGUCAUGUCAUCUUCUCUCAUUGAUUUUAAAUGGAUGAAUUAGAAUUCACAUGAAAAAGGGGAAAGACAUUUUAUUCCCUCUCAUUCAAAAGUUUUUAAAAGUUUCAAAUUUCACUCAAGUUUCAAUCACUCAAACAAACAAACAAUCAAUCUAAUAAUUAUAUUAACAUUCCAAAAUUUGGGAUGUUACAAACCUACCACACUUAAAGUGAAUCUCGUCCUCGAGAUUCAAAGAGGCUAGAAAGAAAGGUUAGGGUUUUGGAGGUCUUCAAACAAAUCCAAUCUCGUGCAAAGUGGGAUGCUACCACACUUAAAGUGAGAGUUACUGGUCCCUCAAAAUUUUAGAAAUCCUGUGGGGUCUUGGCAUCUGACUCCUCACAUUCUUCAUACGAACUCCUUUGGUGAUGCAUCUUUCAUUACAUUCAUAACGUUUCCAUCAAAAUCGAGGGUUCUUCUGUUGAUAUAAGUUUCUUCCACCACCGAGUCUCCUUAACUGAUAGUCUCACGAUCGAUUCUAAAUAACGUAUCAAUGAUUCUCAUGUUGGAAUUAUGCCCUAGAGGCAAUAAUAAAUGUAUAGUUAUUAUUAUAAUUCCUGUAUCAAGAUAAUAGUUUAUUAUCCAUGCUAUAAUUGUAUUGAAUGAAGACUCAUUUACAUGUGUGGAUACAUAGACAAAACACCGUCCCUAGCAUGCCUCUAGUUGGCUAGCCAGUUGAUCGAUGAUAGUCAGUGUCUUCUGAUUAUGAACAAGGUGUUGUUGCUUGAUAACUGGAUCACGUCAUUGGGAGAAUCACGUGAUGGACUAGACCCAAACUAAUAGACGUAGCAUGUUGAUCGUGUCAUUUUGUUGCUACUGUUUUCUGCGUGUCAAGUAUUUAUUCCUAUGACCAUGAGAUCAUAUAACUCACUGACACCGGAGGAAUGCUUUGUGUGUAUCAAACGUCGCAACGUAACUGGGUGACUAUAAAGGUGCUCUACAGGUAUCUUCGAAGGUGUUAGUUGAUUUAGUAUGGAUCAAGACUGGGAUUUGUCACUCCGUGUGACGGAGAGGUAUCUCGGGGCCCACUCGGUAAUACAACAUCACACACAAGCCUUGCAAGCAAUGUAACUUAGUGUAAGUUGCGGGAUCUUGUAUUACGGAACGAGUAAAGAGACUUGCCGGUAAACGAGAUUGAAAUAGGUAUGCGGAUACUGACGAUCGAAUCUCGGGCAAGUAACAUACCGAAGGACAAAGGGAAUGACAUACGGGAUUAUACGAAUCCUUGGCACUGAGGUUCAAACGAUAAGAUCUCCAUAGAAUAUGUAGGAUCCAAUAUGGGCAUCCAGGUCCCGCUAUUUGAUAUUGACCGAGGAGUCUCUUGGAUCAUGUCUACAUAGUUCUCGACCCGCAGGGUCUGCACACUUAAGGUUCGACGUUGUUUUAUGCGUAUUUGAGUUAUAUGGUUUGUUACCGAAUGUUGUUCAGAGUCCCGGAUGAGAUCACGGACGUCACGAGGGUUUCCGGAAUGAUCCGGAAACGAAGAUUGAUAUAUAGGAUGACCUCAUUUGAUUACCGAAAGGUUUUCGGAGUUACCGGGAAUGUACCGGGAAUGACGAAUGGGUUCCGGGAGUUCACCGGGGGGGGGGGGCAACCCACCCCGGGGAAGCCCAUAGGCUUUGGGGAGACACACCAGCCCUUAGUGGGCUGGUGGGACAGCCCCAAGGGGGCCUAUGCGCCAAGAGAAGGAAAUCAAAGGAAAAAAGAGGGAGGAAGUGGGAAGGGAGGGGGACUCCUCCCACCAAACCAAGUCCAACUCGGUUUGGGGGGGGAGUCCUCCCCCCCUUGGCUCGACCGACCCCUUGAGGGUCCCUUGGACCCCAAGUCAAGGUCCCCCUCCCUCCUCCUAUAUAUAUGGGGCUUUUAGGGCAGAUUUGAGACGACUUUCUCACGGCUGCCCGACCACAUACCUCCAUAGUUUUUCCUCUAGAUCGCGUUUCUGCGGAGCUCGGGCGGAGCCCUGCUGAGACGAGAUCAUCACCAACCUCCGGAGCGCCGUCACGCUGCCGGAGAACUCUUCUACCUCUCCGUCUCUCUUGCUGGAUCAAGAAGGCCGAGAUCAUCGUCGAGCUGUACGUGUGCUGAACGCGGAGGUGCCGUCCGUUCGGUACUAGAUCGUGGGACUGAUCGCGGGAUUGUUUGCGGGGCGCAUCGAGGGACGUGAGGACGUUCCACUACAUCAACCGCGUUCUCUAACGCUUCUGCUGUACGAUCUACAAGGGUACGUAGAUCACUCAUCCCCUCUCGUAGAUGGACAUCACCAUGAUAGGUCUUCGUGCGCGUAGGAAAUUUUUGUUUCCCAUGCGACGUUCCCCAACAGUGGCAUCAUGAGCUAGGUUCAUGCGUAGAUGUCUUCUCGAGUAGAACACAAAAUGUUUUGUGGGCGGUGAUGUGUGUUUUGCUGCCCUCCUUAGUCUUUUCUUGAUUCCGCGGUAUUGUUGGAUUGAAGCGGCUUGGACCGACAUUACUCGUACGCUUACGAGAGACUGGUUUCAUCGUUACGAGUAACCCCCUUUGCUCAAAGAUGACUGGCAAGUGACGGUUUCUCCAACUUUAGUUGAAUCGGAUUUGACCGAGGAGGUCCUUGGAUGAGGUUAAAUAGCAACUCAUAUAUCUCCGUUGUGGUGUUUGCGUAAGUAAGAUGCGAUCCUACUAGAUACCCUUGGUCACCACGUAAAACAUGCAACAACAAAAUUAGAGGACGUCUAACUUGUUUUUGCAGGGUAUGAUUGUGAUGUGAUAUGGCCAACGAUGUGAUGUGAUAUAUUGGAUGUAUGAGAUGAUCAUGUUGUAAUAGAAAUAUCGACUUGCAUGUCGAUGGUACGACAACCGGCAGGAGCCAUAGGGUUGUCUUUAUACUAACGUUUGUGCUUGCAGAUGCGUUUACUAUUUUGCUAGGAUGUAGCUUUAGUAGUAAUAGCAUAAGUAGCACGACAACCCCGAUGGCAACACGUUGAUGGAUGAUCAUGAUGUGGCGCCGGUGACAAGAAGAUCGUGCCGGUGCUUUGGUGAUGGAGAUCAAGAAGCACAUGAUGAUGGCCAUAUCAUGUCACUAAUGAAUUGCAUGUGAUGUUAAUCCUUUUUUGCACCUUAUUUUGCUUAGAACGACGGUAGCAUUAUGAGGUGAUCUCUCACUAAAAUUUCAAGACGAAAUUGUGUUCUCCCCGACUGUGCACCGUUGCUAUAGUUCGUCGUUUCGAGACACCACGUGAUGAUCGGGUGUGAUAGACUCAACGUUCACAUACAACGGGUGCAAAACAGUUGCGCACGCGGAACACUCGGGUUAAGCUUGCAUGCNNNNNNNNNNNNNNNNNNNNNNNNNNNNNNNNNNNNNNNNNNNNNNNNNNNNNNNNNNNNNNNNNNNNNNNNNNNNNNNNNNNNNNNNNNNNNNNNNNNNCUAGAUAGUUGGUGGGAGGGAGUCCCCCUUCCUUCCCACCUCCUCCUUUUUUUCUUUCCUCUUGAUUUCUUUCCUUGGCUCAUAGGGCCCUUUUGGCUGUCCCAACAGCCCACUAAGGGCUGGUGUGCCACCCUCAAGGCCUAUGGGCUUCCCGGGUGGGUUGCCCCUCCCGGUGAACUCCCGGAACCGUUCGUCAUKMYMGGUACAUUCCCGGUAACUCCGAAAACCUUCCGGUAAUCAAAUGAGGUCAUCCUAUAUAUCAAUCUUCGUUUCCGAACUAUUCCGGAAACCCUCGUGACGUCCGUGAUCUCAUCCGGGACUCCGAACAACAUUCGGUAACCAACCAUAUAACUCAAAUACGCAUAAAACAACGUCGAACCUUAAGUGUGCAGACCCUGCGGGUUCGAGAACUAUGUAGACAUGACCCGAGAGACUCCUCGGUCAAUAUCCAAUAGCGGGACCUGGAUGCCCAUAUUGGAUCCUACAUAUUCUACGAAGAUCUUAUCGUUUGAACCUCAGUGCCAAGGAUUCAUAUAAUCCCGUAUGUCAUUCCCUUUGUCCUUCGGUAUGUUACUUGCCCGAGAUUCGAUCGUCAGUAUCCGUAUACCUAUUUCAAUCUCGUUUACUGGCAAGUCUCUUUACUCGUUYCGUAAUACAAGAUCCCGYAMCUUACASUARGUUACAUUGCUUGCAAGGCUUGUGUGUGAUGUUGUAUUACCGAGUGGGCCCCGAGAUACCUCUCCGUCACACGGAGUGACAAAUCCCAGUCUUGAUCCAUACUAACUCAACUAACACCUUCGGAGAUACCUGUAGAGCAUCUUUAUAGUCACCCAGUUACGUUGCGACGUUUGAUACACACAAAGCAUUCCUCCGGUGUCAGUGAGUUAUAUGAUCUCAUGGUCAUAGGAAUAAAUACUUGACACGCAGAAAACAGUAGCAACAAAAUGACACGAUCAACAUGCUACGUCUAUUAGUUUGGGUCUAGUCCAUCACAUGAUUCUCCUAAUGAUGUGAUCCCGUUAUCAAGUGACAACACUUGCCUAUGGCCAGGAAACCUUGACCAUCUUUGAUCAACGAGCUAGUCAACUAGAGGCUUACUAGGGACAGUGUUUUGUCUAUGUAUCCACACAAGUAUUGUGUUUCCAAUCAAUACAAUUAUAGCAUGGAUAAUAAACGAUUAUCAUGAACUAAGAAAUAUAAUAAUAACUAAUUUAUUAUUGCCUCUAGGGCAUAUUUCCAACACUUCUCCAUAUGGAUCUGUUUGGUCCUCCAUCAUUUGAUAGUCUUGGAGGCAGAAAGUAUUGCUUAGUGAUUGUUGACGACUACUCAAGAUAUACCUGGGUAUAUUUCUUUAAAAAGAAGAGUGAAACUCAACAAACGUUCAUCAACUUUGCUAAUGAAGCGCAACGUCAACAUGAAGCAAAGAUCUUGAUGAUCAGAAGUGAAAACGGCACCGAGUUCAAGAACUACACCUUAGAUGAGUUUCUAGGUGAUGAGGGAAUAAAACACCAAUAUUCUGCACCAUAUACCCCUCAACAAAACGGCGUGGCGGAGAGGAAGAACCGGACCUUGAUAGUCGCUGCAAGGACAAUGAUGGCAUAAUUCAAAUCUCCAUAUAACUCUGGGCAGAGGCCAUCAACACAGCAUGUCAUGCAUCCAAUCGGCUCUACAUCCGCAAAGGCUUGAACAAGACUCGGUAUGAGAUUCUAACUGGAAACAAACCCAAUCUCAAGUACUUCCGGGUAUUCGGUUGUAAGUGUUUCAUUCUCAAGAAAGGUGCACGGUUAGCUAAAUUUGAUUCUAAAGCACAUGAGGGUAUCUUUGUUGGUUAUGCUACAAACUCUCAUGCUUACCGUGUCCUCAACAAGUCCACCGGACUAAUUGAGGAGACGUGUAACGUAGAUUUUGAUGAAAAUAAUGGCUCCCAAGUGGAGCAAAGUGGUCUUUGUGAUGUAGGUGAUGAAAUUCCUCCCAAGCCAUAAGAAGAAUGGGGAUUGGUCAAAUACUCCCCAUUGAGGAACCCCUUGUGGCUGAAGGAGAAGGACGAUGCUCUACUCAAGUGGAGCCAUCACCUCCACAAGCCCCACACGCUUCCGAUGAACAAAGAGAAGACUCUCAACAAAAUAAACAAGCUCAAGGUCAAGAUAAAUUUCCCAACAAUGAUGAUGUGUCUCAGGAUAUUCAAGAACUACCCCAAGACUCCGAACCUGCUCAUGAUCAAGAUCAAGUGCAACCCCGAGAUCCAGACCAAGUAGAAGCACAAGAUCAAGAUCAAGAGCAACCACAAAUACAAGAACAAACUAGUGAACCUGCUCAAGUCGAAGGACAAGAUGAUCAAGAGACUGUCUCACAAUUCCCUUCUGGAGCAUCAACAGCCGGCUCAAGACGCAAGGGCAAGCAAAGGAAACAAGUCAAUGCUCCCCCGUUAUCUAAUGAAGAACUCUUGGAGUGUCGAGCAGCCAAGACUGCGAACAAGCUGAGAGUCAAGUCACAUCUUAUGAAGAAUGUACUUGGCAGUUUAAAAAGGGGAGUAUCCACCCGUCAACGGAUUUGGAAUUAUUGUGAGCAUCACGUGUUUGUCUCGUAUUGUGAACCUCAACAGGUACAGGAAGCGCUCGAUGAUGAGGAUUGGCUUAUGGCCAUGCACGAAGAACUUAACAACUUCGAGCGCAACCAAGUCUGGGAUUUAGUGCCUAGGCCAACGGAGGAACAUAAUGUCAUCGGGACCAAAUGGAUAUUCAAGAACAAGCAAGAUGCCAAUGGGAUUGUGAUUCGAAACAAGGCAAGAUUGGUGGCUCAAGGCUACUCCCAAGUCGAGGGUAUCGACUACGGUGAAACCUUUGCCCCUAUUGCUCAUCCAGAAUCUAUUCGCAUGUUGCUUGCAUUUGCUUCUCAUCAUAACUUCAAAUUGCAACAAAUGGAUGUGAAAAGUGCCUUUCUUAAUGGUCCUUUAAAUAAGUUGGUCUAUGUCAAACAACCCCGGGAUUCGAACAUCCCAAGCUCCCCAAUCAUGUGUACAAACUUAAUAAGGCACUCUAUGGCCUUAAACAAGCCCCACGCGCGUGGUAUGAGUAUCUUACUGAGUUGUUACAAGAUCGUGGGUUUGAAAUUGGGAAGAUAGAUCCCGCUCUUUUUACUAGGAGGGUUAAAGGGGAUUUGUUCAUAUGCCAACUAUAUGUUGAUGAUAUUAUCUUUGGCUCUCCUAACAUUUCCUUCAAUGAAGAAUUUGCUGCACUAAUGACUGAGAAGUUUGAGAUGUCCAUGAUGGGAGAGUUGAAGUUCUUCCUCGGGUUCGAGAUUACACAAGGUCUAGAAGGGACAUUCAUCAAACAAGCCAAGUACACUCAAGACAUGCUCAAACGGUUCGAGCUCGAAGAUGUCAAACCGGUCAAGUUCCCCAUGCCAACAAGAUGCAAGCUUGACAGUGAUCCCAAUGGUAAAGCAGUGGAUCAAAAGGUAUAUCGCUCCAUGAUUGGAUCCCUCCUUUACCUUUGUGCAUCUAGACCGGAUAUUAUGUUGAGUGUAGGGAUAUGUGCACGGUUUCAAUCCGCACUAAAAGAAAGCCAUUACAUGGCUGUUAAGCGAAUCUUUCGAUAUUUGGCUCAUACCCCAAACUUUGGCCUUUGGUAUCCCAAAGGAGCAAACUUCAAUCUAGUUGGCUAUUCUGACUCAGAUUGGGUAGGAGAUUGUGUGGAGAGGAAGUCAACGUCUGGAGGAUGCCAAUUCCUUGGUCGCUCAUUGGUAAGUUGGUCGUCAAAGAAGCAUAAUUGUGUCUCAUUAUAAUCCACCGAAGCUGAGUAUGUGGCAGCUGCAAGUUGUUGUGCACAAUUGCUAUGGAUGAGGCAAACUUUAAAGGAUUAUGGUGUCACUUGUGACAAAGUGCCUCUUCUAUGUGACAAUCAAAGUGCUAUCAAGAUUUCCCUCAACCCGGUGCAACAUAGCAAAACCAAACAUAUUGAUAUUCGUCAUCACUUCAUUCGUGAACAUAUCAAGCUAGGUGAUAUUGAGGUUCAUUUCAUCCACACUGAAGAGCAACUUGCAGAUAUUUUCACUAAGCCUCUAGAUGAAGCAAGGUUCCGGGAGUUAAGGCAUGAGCUAAAUAUCAUUGAUUCAAGUAAUGUGGAUUGAAACUAGGCAUGUUGCACCUCACUUUGUAUUCCAUCUUGGUCUAGAUGUAGGCAUGGACAUAGGGGGAAUGUUGUUCUCUCAAUGAACUUUCCCUCCCCCAUUAUGCAUAAAUCAAUCUAGUCUUUCACUUUAGCCAUUGUCAAAUGGCACUUGUGCUUCAAAGACGAGCAUUGGUCAUGAACCCAAGGAUAAUUCUUCGCGGUGUCAUACCAUUGUCUCAAACAUAGGUGGCCUCGGCCACCGCCCCUCCCACCUUUCCUUCGUAUAGAAGAAAGGAAAUACAAUGACAAGUCAGUACAUGUUUCUAGGUGCUAUCUCUUUUACUUAAUUGUCAUUUGCCCAAGUUCUUCUCUUAUCCUAGGCCGCGUUGUGACAUUUGCAGCGGUACUACCGCCAGGGGUAGCGGUACUACCGCCAGGACCCCAGCGGUACUACCGCCAGGGGUAGCGGUACUACCGCCAGGACCCCAGCGGUACUACCGCCAGGGUUGGCGGUACUACCGCCAGGAUUCCCAUCUAACACGACCUGCUAGGAAAUUUUAGGGAUGUCUCAAGGGGGAGCGGUACUAACGUCAGGGGGAGCGGUACUACCGCCAGGACCCCAGCGGUACUACCGCUGCAUCCAGCGGUACUACCGCUAGGUCCAUAGCGGUACUACCGCUGGCCCGUACCCCUUGGGCUAUAUAAAGGAGGGGGAGCCCGUUUUUCCCAGGCUCUUUCUUCUUCCUCGCGGCUCCUCCCUCCCCUAGCCCGAAAUCCCCCUGUUCGCAUCUCGUUUUGUGAAGCUCCUUCUCUCCGUUGGAUUGGAGGGGUUGCUCCACUUCUCCUUCCUCCUCCAAGGGCCAUGAAUCCCGGUAAAGCUCCUCCCCUUCUUCUAUUGGUUGAUGUUCUUGUUCUAGGGUUAGGAGCAUUGGGGGAGUGGAUCCAUGUCUUUGAUCUUGUGCUUUGUUCUUGGAUGGCAUGAAGGAGAUAUUUGAGGGGAGUGUAGGUCCUAUGAAUCGUUGCUGAUUAUUUUGCCAUGCCCUAGGAUUUACUUGUUUUAGAUCAGGCACUUGAACUAUGUUUGGAUUAGAUCUAAAACUUGCUCUCUCUUGACUAGGCAUGUACUUAUUUCGGUGAUACCUGUGAUCCUCAUGUGAGUAGGGCUGUGGUGGAGUUCUUAGUGUUCAUGUGCAACCCAUGCCCCUCGUAAAAAUCGUGUAGCCCUAUGCAUGAGGUCUAUUUUAUCUGACAGAUCUGAAAGUCAACCCCAACGAUACUACCGCCAGGGGUAGCGGUACUACCGCUAGGACCCCCAGCGGUACUACCGCCAGGGGUAGCGGUACUACUGCCAGGAGGAUUCACUGUGCAUUCUUUUCAUGUGCUUGGCAAGAGUGUUUAUUUUUCUGCUUUUCUAGUUCAUUGCCUUGACUCUUUUUGUCGCUUCUUUUCGCUGUGUCUUUUGUGUCACAGGUGGUUCUCGCCGUUCGAACCCCCACGGGACAUGCAGUCAAAGCAGUAUCGCAACCCAGAGGCUCCCGAGGGUUCCGCCACUUCAGGUCUGCAACCCAAAAGCAGUCCUUCAAGAAGACCGCGAACAAGGAUAAGGGGAUCAAUGUCCGAACAAUGGUCCCCAAGGACUUUCUGCGGUUUCGCACUCAGAACCAUUAUCUCAAAGAGAAGGCUGUGAUCAAGAAUGUUGACCAUGUUUGGGCAAAGGAUCACUGCAGGAUCUACCGUGAUAUUGUCAUGCAUUUCAAGAAGAACUAUGUCCCCGUUCAGUGGAUUGACCUAGCUCAUCUUUAGCGGAAUCUGGACUAUUUUGGUGAUGCCCUCUCUCUGAUUGACAAACUGGGCAUCAAGGACAUCAUCACUUUCAAGACAGAUUUUGACCCCACUGCUGUUGCCCAGUUCUAUGUCACGGUCCACUUCUCUCCUGAUGAAGAGCGCUCUAUGGUGUGGAUGACUGGGACUCAGAAGAUGACCGGUACCUGGCGUGAGUUCAUGACAUUCCUCAAGAUUGACUUCCAGGGAGCUGACACUCCACUUGGGUCGCGUCCUCAUGCUGCAGCUCCCACCGAUAGGGCCCCCGGCAAAAGACAGAUUGCAGCAACUCUAUGUGAGGAAGGGUGUGCUCCCCAAGCAUCUGGACAUCAUGCAUCGGAUCCUCCGCAACACCCUCUUCCCUCGCAUUGGUAACUUCGACGAGGUUCAUGGCUCUUUGGCUGAGAUGCUGCUGCUUUGUGAGAAGGCUAUGACUAAGGAGUCUGUCCCUCUUGAUAUUUCUGAUGUGAUGUUCACGGAGCUCUGGAACUGCAUCAUCAUGCGUAAGGUUCCCAUCUACGGGCCCUAUCUGUUCGCUUAUAUUCGUCAGAAGUGGCAAGAUACUUAUCCGGAGGAGGUGCUCUACGUUCAGUCUGACUACAUUGUGCACGACCCGAUCAAGCUUCGCGUCAAGGAUAAAUGGGCCAACCCAUCAACUUCCUCUCAGCACAUGGAUACUGACACAGAGACUGCUGCUGACAGAGGAACCGUCUCUCAGUCCCGCUCUUCUGCCAUGCCUUGGGCCAUCAAACUGCUGGAUAAGAUGAAGACUCUAUUCUGUAUGCAGGCUAAGGUUCAGUACCAGACGCACGUGGCUCAGAAGGAGAGCCGCCAGAGGCACAAGCGUGUUCUAAGGACUCUUGAUGUGGACAUCUCCAGUGGAUCAGAGGACGACAUCAUUCCAGAGGCUACUUGGAUGCAGGCUCAAGGUUACCAGUGGUCUGGCGAUGAGGAGGAAGAGGAGGAGCAGGACGAUCAGGAGGGUACCGACGAGUCUGGCGAUGCUGAGGAUGAGGAGUAACCACCUGUGGCGUUAGGUGUCCCCUUUUGGUGUCUUGUGCCAAAGGGGAGAGAGUCUAGGAGCUGGAUUUGCUUUCAUAGUCGAACCUUGCUUUGCUUCGCUUUCUUUCGUGGUUUGCUUCGAACUUGGUUUGCUUCUAGUUUGUUAUCGUUUGUGAGACAUGAACUUAUGUGAGAUUUAUUUCCAUCAUAUGCUGUGAGUCAUAUGCCCCGUAUUGUCAUAUAUCUCUAUCUUGUUGUUCUCAUAUUAUUCUCUGUGCAAAUCCGGUAUUGUCAUCAAUCCACCAAAAAGGGGGAGAUUGUUGGGGCAUAGUUUAUGCUUAAGUAAUUUUGGUGAUUAAUGAUACUACCGUAAAGGACUAACUGUGUGUGUUAAGGUUUCAGAUAACACACGUCAACGGCACAAGACGACUCGCCUCCUCAUUCAUGGAACGGAAGCACGGCGCUCUCUACGAUUCACUUUAUUUGAGUCAUAGGAAAGCCGUACUAUUAAGAGGGGAACCGUAGUGGAAAGGUUUGAGUGGAAUCUAUCUUUGCACGCGCACACUUCACAGAUUUUCCCUUACCUUCAUCUUUGGAGCGGCCCCGCCACUGUGUUUCUUUCCUCCUUGCAAAUUGGUCCCCAACGGUAGUACCGCUGGAAUGCUAGCGGUAGUACCGCUGCAGCCAGCGGUAGUACCGCUGGCUGGCGGUAGUACCGCCCCGGGUCAGCGGUAGUAUCGCUCCAGGAGCUUAGUACCGCUUGCCUAGCGGUUGUUUGUGGACGGACCUUUUUGUGAAGACUUUCUUGGCGGUGGUAGUGCUUUUGCACUACCAGGGGCCCAGCGGUAGUACCGCUGGAGUGCCAGCGGUAGUACCGCUGCAACCAGCGGUAGUACCGCCCCUUGUCAGCGGUAGUACCGCUGGAGUGCCAGCGGUAGUACCGCUGCAGCCAGCGGUAGUACCGCUGGAGCUCGGGCAGAGAGUGGGAAAACGGUCUGAUUCCCCCCCCCACUAUAUAAAGGGUUCUUCUAGCUGUAGAACCUCAUCUCUUACCAUCCCAAGCUCCAUUGUUGCGCCCCAAGCUCAAAAGUGCCCGAUCUCUCUCCCUAGCCAAUCAAACUUGUUGAUUCUUUAGGGAUUGGUUGAGAAGGCCUAGAUCCACACUUCCACCAAGAGAAAAGUUGAUUCCCCCACCAAUCCCUUGCGGAUCUUGUUACUCUUGGGUGUUUGGGCAUCCUAGACGGUUGAGGUCACCUCGAAGCCAUAUUCCAUUGUGGUGAAGCUUUGUGGUCUAGUUUGGAGCCUCCAAGCUUUGUGCGGAGUUUGCCCCAACCUUGUUUGUAAAGGUUCGGUCGCCGCCUUCAAGGGCACCUAUAGUGGAAUCACGGUACCUUGCAUCGUGCGAGGGCGUGAGGAGAAUACGGUGGCCUUAGUGGCUUAUUGGGGAGCAUUGUGCCUCCACACCGCUCCAACGGAGACGUACUUCCUGUCAAAGGGAAGGAACUUCGGUAACACAUCCUCGUCUCCAUCGGUUCCACUUGUGGUUAUCUCUAACCUUUACUUUGUGUAUGCUUAUGUUGUUAACUAUAUCUUACUUGUCUUAAUAGCUCUCGUUGUUAGCUCCAUUAGGGUUCACCUCAUUGUCGUAAUAUUUGUGAACCCAUAUGUUGUUUACCUUAACUUGCUAAGAUUAAUUAAAAAGUGGUCGUUGUCUAUUCACCCCCCCCCCUCUAGUCAACCAUAUCGAUCCUUUCAGCUGGGUCAGCGCUCUUCACGUAGAAGAAGCCUUUCUGCCAAUGCUUGAUGGAUUCUUGCAAAGGCAUCUGGGGAAGCCGGACUUCGAGCGGUGAUGCACCAACGCGGCCCCGCACGGUGUCAUUGGGCGCGGCCCCUUGAGCUUCUCCACCACGAUUUCUCCAUGGCGAUGGAUUGCUGCUUGAAGAAGAACAGGUUGCGCCACAGAUCGACACGAGGCUCGAUCCCCACGAAGCCCUCGCACAGCACCACGAAGGCGGCCAGCUGCAGUAUGGCGUUCGGCGCCAGAUGAUGCGGCUGCAAGCCGAAGAAAUGGAGCCAUUCGGUGAAAAAGAGCUAGCCGGGAGCCCGAAGCCCCGGUAGAAGUGCUCGACGAAGACCACGACCUCUCCCGCGGCGGGUGCGGGAGCGGUCUCGGCGCUGGGAAGGCGCACCAGUACUUGGGAGGCUGGUGGCAGCAGUCGAUGGUGACGAAGCGCCUCGAUGUGCCCCUCGUCGACGCCGCUGCCCAACCAGGCUCCCUGCGAAGAUGCCUUCUACGUCGACGACUUCUUCGAGGAAGAACCGCGGCCAUGGCUGCGGGCGACGAGAGCUCGAAGUAGUCAGCGAUGUCGCGACGGCAAAGAUGAAGAAGAUGAAGGGCGUGAGCUCUUCUUCUCAGAGCGCAGGGAGGAAGAGAGCACGGAUGCGGGGCAAGAAGAGGGGGCGAAUGGCUUCCUCGGAACCCUCGCGUCCCAUUUAAACCCCCACGAAGCGUCGUGGGGAGGGGAUCCGGUGCGCACCGGACCCCAUUAAUCACGUGCAUUACGUGUGGUACCGCUUCCCUAAGCCCAACCGCCGCGGAGUAAAUCCACAGAGGAUCUCCCGCACGAAGGCCGAGGGGGCAUCGUGGCGGGACCCAGGUCCCAGGCCCGUCAGCAGUAAUCGCCAUCAUUACGCCAGGCGGGGCCUGGCACGUGGCGUUCUCCGAGCAAGUUACGACUAGACCGAGGCGUUGCUUCGAAGCCACCCGGUUUCGAAGCCGGCGUCCUUCGUCGCGAAUAGCGGCCAAAGUAUCAAGACAAAUCAACAAGCCGGUGAGGCCGGCCGCCCGCAAGCAGCAAACCUCGCCAGCUUCGGGGACUACUGUCGGGGGGAUAACCCCGGGGUAGGCUCAUCAAGCCUAUUCCUUCAUUUCCGGCCCAAUGGACAUGAACGUAUGAAGAUUCCCAAGGCCCAAGUCUUCUGGCCGGCUAGGCAUCACCUGCCGGCUAGAGGACGAGGCGGCCAUCUUUCUGGCCGGCCAGGCAACCCCUGCCGGCUAGAGUCAAGGCGGCCUCCUCUUCGGAGUCGGCCUGGUCUCGCCAGACGGACUGGGAAGGAGGCGGCCACACUUAAGCCGGCUAACCAAGCAGGCUAGCCGGCCGAGGAUCACAGGUCACAUCAGAUCGUAGGUUAGGAUAAGACCACACGAUUAAAGGUAGCUACGCGUCAGCAAAGGUACUGGAUCGGGGCGCCCGACAGGUACGAGCAUCGGCGGCCACGUUGCUGACCUACCCCGGCUCUGAUCCAUCACCUAGCAUAGUGUCGGACCGUCACACUCCCACUCCAUUACUGCACUCGGCGUGGGGAACAGUGGAGGCGGCCGUACUACCUGCCCAUGAAGAAUCUCGCGGGGCGACGCUUGACGUACAACGCGUGCUCGACGUCAACCUUACGCGAGAGCCUCAUUGGCCAGCCGGCGGGUCCCACAAGCAAUUGAGACCAUGCAGCCGACGGGCCCCCAGCGACAAGACAAGACUCUUGUGGGCCCCUGGCCAGUCGGCGAAGCUGCCAUCCGGGUCCCACACUAGUACCCUUUAUCCAUAUUGUAGACCGGCGGAUUCGUCUAUAAAAACCCCCGGUCGCCCUCCAUGCAGGGGGGCUGAUCAUUCACUAGUCAUUCAACACAACACAUUCACCAACCACAGAGAGAGAGGUAGAGACGAGCCGGCUGCUCCCCUCUUCCUCCUCGCAACACAGCUCCAGGAGCGACAUUGUACUCUGUUCAUAUACAUCAAACACUCCGGCAAGAUUAGGGGUAUUAUCUCUACGGAGAGCCCUGAACCUGGGUACAUCGUGCGUCCCAUGCGUGUACCAACCUCGUCCCCAGCGCCCACCUUUGUCUCUUCGGUUCUCACCGACUUUAGCCUACCUAUGGCAUAUGUUGUGAGUAUUCACCGACAGGAGACAAGCUACAAAAUCCGAUCAUUUCUUUAUCUGAAGUUUGGAGGAGCACAUGAUCAGCUGCUUACGCUUUCCUCCAUUCAACUUUCUGUUAAGAAAUGAUCCUAAAAAUUCGAUUUGCUUUUGCAGAAGGUACAGCUGCAAUCCAUCAAAGUACACAAGGCAAAGGUGAAGUGCCCUUAGGUGUUCAAGAACUGUUUGACAUGGCUUCAUUUCCCAUCGAAACAUGUGAAGAACUCUGAGAUCAAUCACUUUAGUUAUCAUGUUAUACUAGAUCGUUGAUGGCGCGCGUUGCUGCGCCCGCCCAUUUGUACAGUAAAUGUUACGAAUUUUCAUAAAUAUAGAUGGGCUCAAGAAACAUAUUAAAUUUACACGAACAAAACCAUAUCAGACACUAAUAUUACAUGUAAAUCUCAUAUGAUUCUAUGUAAAACAAAGCUAAUACAAAUAACCGGUAUUACCACAACAAAUAAAAAGUAGCAGAAAAAAUGUAAUAGGAGCCAUAAAUACAUAGUGUGUUAAUGAAAUCUUCACAUGGCUUUACACAAAAGGCUCCUACUACAAUAUUUUUGGAGAACAUCCAUGAAAAUGGAACAUCAUCAAUACCUUGCAACACCUAAAAGAAAAUUCCUUCAAUUGUCCUGCUCAACAAACCUUGUGUAGCAACAACAAACCUUGAGUAUCAAAGUAUAUAUAAACACAAUAAGAUAAUAAACAGCCCACAAACAGAUGUGAAAAUCAAUGAAUCGUAUUGCCAUAUCCAUAUCUUUUUUCUCUCACCUAAAAGGCUUUGAUAUAAGGACAUCAUAUUAUUCUAGUAUAUUUGCGGAAUUGCAAGGCAAAUACAUAAUAAUAAAGAAAUAGACUAAACACGUUAUGAGAUAUGGAUGGGAAAUAACAAUAGAACAUUAUGUGAUGCCGUCUGCCCUAGGGUGACUCGGGGGAGCCCGGAAACCUAGCCGCAGCCAAGCACUCCCUCCUCCUCUUCCUCCGCCACCGCCGCGGAACGUUGUCGGGCUAAGCCCGAGGGCCGACGGCGGUGGCGAGGGAUCUCCUCUCUCACGCGUCUCCGGGUUGGGCGGGACCCBUAGGCGUGUGGCGGCGCGGCCGAGUCUSKAUUCUAGCGGCACGGCGGAUGGCCNNNNNNNNNNNNNNNNNNNNNNNNNNNNNNNNNNNNNNNNNNNNNNNNNNNNNNNNNNNNNNNNNNNNNNNNNNNNNNNNNNNNNNNNNNNNNNNNNNNNUAUAUAUAUAUAUAAUGGUGUUGAGAAUUCCUGAUAGUUUUAGUUCAUUUGGCUCAAGUUGUCCAUGACCGUGGACACGGCUAAUCGAUUAGGUUUGAGUACUCUGCAGAGUUUUGCACACAUUCCCCACAAGAUUUGAUCGCCUCCGUGUAUGUCCUCGCACUUCAGGGUGUUUGAAGACCGGAUGAUCAAAACAUGGUCUUUCAACGGGUUCCUCUGAUCCUCUGUCGGUGCCCAUCCAAUCCUACCGUUCUUCUACAUCUCGUAGCACCGCCUAUCCAGAGUCACCACGUUGUCCAACCAAGCCAGAGCCCAUAAUGACUUGUGGCUGUGCAGGUAAGCCUUGGGUCUUGAAAAUAUCCGUCCGUCUCUUUGAGCCUGGGUGAAGCUUUCCGCAAGAUGUCAUGGCGCUUCCCCAUGCAUACCGGGUCGUCCACUGGUUUCUCCAGGGAGCCCAUCUAAACCAUCCUUCACCCAGAGGUAUAUUUCGUUCUGAGGUCUUGCAAGUCUUGGAGUUUUCAGGUCUUGAUUAUUAAGUUCUCACAACACUCCUGGUAAACACUCAACCAAAACCCCGUCUACUAGGAGCAUAGCAUAACAACGUCCCGACCAAAGUAACAAGGGGUGGGUGCCUACCACAUGAUACUACAUCAAGAUUCCAAAAUUUCCAAGUACCUACUUUGCAUGCAAUUGGGUGAAGAAAGGUAGAACUACAAUGCAUAUAAAACAUAGGUAAUAAUAUGAUCAACGUGACUUGCCUCGCUGAUAGUUGUCGUGCUCAAGCGCUUCUAGGUAGCAAGCUUCGCACUCCGGGUAAUCUAUCGAUACAAACAAAAUACACACAAUAAGCACUACAAUCACUAACAAUCAAAAUAAAAUCACUAACACAUAAACACUAUAGCACAAAGUGAUGCAAUUCACUUUACAUAACCAAAACAAAAUCUGUUUUGGUAAAAACCCAAGUAAAAAUAUUUUAAAAACUUGAAACUUAAACUACUGAAAUAUAUGUUCAAUAGGAAACAGUAGAAAAAGAAUUAAUUUAAAAGCUAUUUUAAACUCCCGGUAUAAGCAAAACAAGAUUUAAAUAAAAUCUGUUCUAAUUCAAAAUUUGAAAUUUCAAACAUAGGCAAAUAAUAUGUUUUCGGAAACUACAAGAAAAUUGUGAUCUAUCGCAAAAUGAAUCAUCUUCAUUGGACUUCUAGAUUAAAAGAUAUAAGGGAAAGAAAAUUGGAACUGGUUCUGUUUCGGAAACAAAAACUGAAAAAGAUAAAAACGAAAAGUGACGUGGCGGAUCCUGAUUGGUUCUCAGGUGUGCACGGUUUAGGCUAUCUAGAGGAUGACCGCAAUAUAAGAAAAAACUAUUUGGUUAAUAAAAUAAAUGGCUGGUUCUUGUUAAAGAACCGAAGGGGUAUUCCCUUCUUAUCUACACCGUAGGUCUUUGAUCUAAGGGUGAAAAACAAAAAAGCAAAAAAAAAAACAAGAGGAGGGAGAGAAUCUUACAGUGGCUGGCAGGGCUGGGGGCCUUCUUCGGCGAGGGGGAGGUUGCCGGCGGGGAUGGGGGGACCGCGGAGGGAGCGACGCUUGGGGCGGAGGGGGCGAGGGGAGGUCGCCGUGGCUCCUGGCAAGAGGGCKRKSKRGGGGGUUCCGUNNNNNNNNNNNNNNNNNNNNNNNNNNNNNNNNNNNNNNNNNNNNNNNNNNNNNNNNNNNNNNNNNNNNNNNNNNNNNNNNNNNNNNNNNNNNNNNNNNNNUAGUUGGCUAGUCAGUUGAUCAAAGAUAGUCAGUGUCUUCUGAUUAUGAACAAGGUGUUCUUGCUUGAUAACUGGAUCACGUCAUUAGGAGAAUCACGUGAUGGACUAGACCCAAACUAAUAGACGUAGCAUGUUGAUCGUGUCAUUUUAUUGCUACUGUUUUCUGCGUGUCAAGUAUUUGUUCCUAUGACCAUGAGAUCAUAUAACUUACUAACACCGGAGGAAUACUUUGUGUGUAUCAAACGUCGCAACGUAACUGGGUGACUAUAAAGAUGCUCUACAGGUAUCUCCGAAGGUGUUCGUUAAGUUAGUAUGGAUCGAGACUGGUAUUUGUCACUUCGUGUGACGGAGAGGUAUCUCGGGGCCCACUCGGUAAUACAACAUCACACACAAGCCUUGCAAGCAAUGUGACUUAGUGUAAGUUGCGGGAUCUUGUAUUACGGAACGAGUAAAGAGACUUGCCGGUAAACGAGAUUGAAAUAGGUAUACGGAUACUGACGAUCAAAUCUCGGGCAAGUAACAUACCGAAGGACAAAGGGAAUGACAUACGGGAUUAUAUGAAUCCUUGGCACUGAGGUUCAAACGAUAAGAUCUUCGUAGAAUAUGUAGGAUCCAAUAUGGGCAUCCAGGUCCCGCUAUUGGAUAUUGACCGAGGAGUCUCUCGGGUCAUGUCUACAUAGUUCUCGAACCCGGAGGAUCUGCACACUUAAGGUUCGACGUUGUUUUAUGCGUAUUUGAGUUAUAUGGUUGGUUACCGAAUGUUGUUCGGAUUCCUGGAUGAGAUCACGGACGUCGCGAGGGUUUCCGGAAUGGUCCGGAAACGAAGAUUGAUAUAUAGGAUGACCUCAUUUGAUUACCGGAAGGUUUUCGGAGUUACCGUGAAAGUACCGGGAAUGACGAAUGGGUUCCGGGAGUUCACCGGGGGGCAACCCACCCCGGGGAAGCCCAUAGGCAUUGGGGGUGGCACACCAGCCCUUAGUGGGCUGGUGGGACAGCCCAAAAGAGCCCUAUGCGCCAUAGGAAGAAAAAUCAAAGAGAAAGAAAAAAGGAGGAGGUGGAAAAAGGGGGAAGGACUCCUCCUUCCAAACCUAGUUGGACUCGGUUUGGAAGGGGAGAUCUCCCCCUUGGCUCGACCGAAGUCGUUAGGGGUCCUUGGACCCCAAGGCAAGGCUCCCCCUCUUCCCCCUAUAUAUACGGAGGUUUUAGGGCUGAUUUGACACAACUUUGCCACGGCAGCCCGACCACAUAUCUCCACGGUUUUACCUCUAGAUCGCGUUCCUGCGGAGCUCGGGCAGAGCCCUGCUGAGACGAGAUCAUCACCAACCUCUGGAGCGCCGUCACGCUGCCGGAGAACUCUUCUACCUCUCCAUCUCUCUUGCUGGAUCAAGAAGGCCGAGAUCAUCGUCGAGUUGUACGUGUGCUGAACGCGGAGAUGCCGUCCGUUUGGCACUAGAUCGUGGGACUGAUCGCGGGACGGUUCGCGGGGCGGAUCGAGGGACGUGAGGACGUUCCACUACAUCAACCGCGUUCACUAACGCUUCUGCUGUACGGUCUACAAGGGUACGUAGAUCACACAUCCCCUCUCGUAGAUGGACAUCACCAUGAUAGGUCUUCGUGCGCGCAGGAAAAUUUUGUUUCCCAUGCGACGUUCCCCAACACUCUGGUACUCCCAUAAAUGUUGAGACCAAUAUCAUCAAUGUCAUAACUCCAGAGGAGUACAUAAGGGAUGUUUAUCAGCCUAUUUCAGACCCUGAAAAUGAAGAGGUGUCUGUUUCGGUAAGAAAUUGGACUCCGAUGCUUUUCCAAUAGGAAAUUUCCUCCGUUUUGGGAUUUAUGGAAAAUUAGAAAAUAAAAUGCGGUACGGAGAGCGCACGAGGCGGCCACAAGCUUGGACACCGCCCCUACCCCCUGGUGGCGGAGGGAGGGUUUGUGGGCACCUCGUGUGCCUCCCGGACUCCGUUUUCUUGCGGAGCACUCCUUCUGGUCUAGAAAAAAUCAAUAUAUACUCGCCCGAGGGUUUUGAUCUUCGUAUCGCGCAGUUUUCCUCUUUUUCGUUUCGAGCCUGUUUCUGUGACAGAUCUAGAUCAUCAUGACUUCCCCAAACGCUCCUAAGGACAAGAUCUUCGAGAAGGUCAUCAAUCCCUACCUCACGGAAGUGCUGAAACACCCUCAAUCUAUCAAGAUGAGCGAGGGGAUGUUGCACAUCCAUGAUGCUGAGGGGCCUAAGAAGACCGGAAGCGUGGAGACGAGGCUCGAAGCAAUGGAGCAACAAGUCUUCAAGUGCCAAGGGAUGGUGGAGCGUGGACUCAACGCCAACCACAUGAUGAUCACGGAGUUCACUAGCAAUCACAAGAUGGAUGCCAGUGACAUUGGGAAACACCUCUCCAGGCUCUAUGACAGGGUUGAUAAACUUCAAGGCCAAAUCUAUGACCUGCUGAACCAAAACUGUGAGUAUGAGUACAUAUUUAAAUCAAUAAGGUUGGCUGCAGAUUUGAAGAUUCCGGCGACUCGUUCAUCCUGCCAUGAUGGAGCACCUAUGCCUUGGAAGACGGUGGAUCGGACUACUUCAACACCUCCACCACCAUCACCGCCAAAGGAAGACAACUAAGCAUUGGUAUGGGCAAUCCCCUUGGCUUAUGCCAAGCUUGGGAGAGUUGCCCUGGUAUCGUANNNNNNNNNNNNNNNNNNNNNNNNNNNNNNNNNNNNNNNNNNNNNNNNNNNNNNNNNNNNNNNNNNNNNNNNNNNNNNNNNNNNNNNNNNNNNNNNNNNNUGCGCCGCCUCCGUCCAGGUUCGUAUGGAGUGGGAAGGGUAAGUCCCUCCUCUCUCUCUCUCUCGCUGUGCCAUUUUUCUUAAUCUUCGGGCUGGAUGAAUCGAUGUGAAGCUUACCUGGGCGGCGUUUGUGGUUGUGCGGGUGUAGGCGGACAAGAUCGCUGUGAUCGUGGGCACCAUCACCGAUGACCAGAGGGUCUACGAGAUACCGGCAAUGAAGGUGGCCGCGCUCAGGUUCACCGAGACGGCGAGGGCCAGGAUUGUCAACGCUGGUGGCGAGUGCCUUACCUUUGACCAGCUCGCCCUCCGUGCUCCGCUUGGACAGAACACGGUAUGGUUUGACUUCUCCUUUUCUUUAGGUACUGUAUUUGCUAAUAGUGCUGUUUGAUGCAUUCCUUAUUACACGAGUUGGUAUCCAAAGAUUUACAACUGAAGCAUGUAAUUCUUUUAGUUUGUACUAUUAAGUAUGCAAGACUCCUGUAGGUGGAGAAAACCAAGUUUAUUUUCAUGCUCAUCUUGUGUUACAGAGAGACUUGUAUGUGUAGGUUGUGGUAGGGUAUUCAAGGAACAAUCUAUUAUUUUCUGAUGAUUCAUCGGUUACCCUCUUGUCAGGUGUUAAGAGUACAUGUAAACAAAGUUGAUAUACCUGUCUAAAUCUGUAUGGUGUACGUACAUUGCACUUUUUUCAUGGUUGUGCUGGACAGCUGGUGUCCAAUUUCAAACCAAACUAAGUCAUUGAUGAUUGUUAAACUACUAUAUCUUUUCGCAAAGAAAGUCAAGCUUAACUUCAAAUAUGGUGCGUAUGCUUAUUUUAUUGGUAGUAGUUGCAUUAUUGGUUAAAAGUCUUUAUGCCCUAUGUUUUCCUUUGUUUAAGAGUUGUUUCAAACUUGAAUCUGUUCUCUUUGCAUAAACAUUAAUGUAAAUGUGUAUUGAUUCAUACAUACAUGAUAAUCAGUGUGUAGAUUCUUGCACUGUUCCUUCGUGACUUUAUCUGUAUGAUUUCAUUGUAUUGUCACUAUGGUGCUUUGUCUUUAGUACAUGCUUACUGAUGCUAGAAAUUUUGACAUUGUACUUAUGUAGAGACAUUUUCUCCAAUUUAUGAUAUCCUUUUCCUUCUCUUUUGAGAUGUGCCAAGGUGUGGUAUGAUGAUGGUUCCUCCCUUCCCAUAAAUCAGCGAUGAGCCGAUGAGCCUCAGUAUUAGCUGCAUGCCUUUGAGGCUUAUAUUCAUGAGAAUGCCAUGUACAAUCAUUUUAACAAUUUACAUUUUCUUUAUAGCUUCUCCUGAGGGGUCCCAAGAACGCCAGGGAAGCUGUUAGGCACUUUGGCAAAGCUCCAGGAGUGCCACACAGCCACACCAAGCCAUAUGUCCGCUCCAAGGGCAGGAAAUUCGAGAAGGCAAGAGGAAGGAGGAACAGCAGGGGCUUCAAGGUUUAAGCUGUGGAAUUUUGGGCACCCUCGUGUCGUAUUUUGCUGUUAUCGGUUUAUUAUCAUCACCUUUUUGGGUACCAGAAUCAUACCGCUUUAGAUGUCAGUGUCCUGUGUCAAUGAGUUCUCAGAACCAGUUAAUUCGUGUUUCGUUGUUUUGCAACUUGAGACCAUGCUUGCAAGCCAGUUAUGAAUAUCAUUUCUAGCACCAAAAUUUCUCUCUGUUUGGCAGUGAGGUUUGUGUUCUGCCGCUUGUGCUCAUUAUUGCGAUGUUAUAGUUUUCAAAUGUAAUGCAUCAUUUACGUUUGACGAUAAAUUGGCCACGAGGAUGUAUUUGCUGGUACACGGAGACAGUUGCCGUAAAAAAACAAAAAUAAUUCAUCAUAUGCUGAAUAAUAAUUAGGCAAACGCAAUAUUACACGCAGAAGAGACCAUUUUAUAUCUAUCACAUAGGCACUUGAGUGUUGAUGCUGUCAAAGCUCCAGAGCUGCGGCACGUACGCCACCUCCGGCGCCGAGGUCGCCGGCGCGGCGCCGUCGGCCAUGAACGGCUGGUGGAAGAAGGCGGCCACGUUGUAGCCGCCGUUGAGAAGGUCGUAGUCGUCCAGGUCGAGCGGCGGGUCCUCGUUGGGAAGUUGACCUUGGCCUUGGUCCCGCGGAUGCGGCGUGCGGCGCGGUCGUAGGCGCGCGCGGCGCCCUCGGCGGUGGCGAAGGUGCCGAGC
rnacentral:lncRNA from 1 species